rnacentral:lncRNA from 1 species
CCGAGGGGUUGUGCGGGGGCUGGCCCGAGCUCCAGGAAAGCAAAAAAUCUCGAUGUUAUGGAUAGAAACGAUGGAGGUGCUCGAUAUUCCAGGGGUUGGGCAGCUCUAUGCCGUCCUCCGUGGUUAACCGAAUGAAGCCUGGCCGGGGUACUCCGAUCACUUUGUAUGGCCCUUCCCACAUUGGUGAGAGCUUGCUCAGCCCUAGGCGCGACUGAACGCGGCAUAGGACGAGGUCGCCAACUUGUAGUGAUCGGGCCCGGACGUGACGUUGAUGGUAGCGUCGCAAGCUUUGUUGGUAGCGCGCGGCACACAGGGCCGCUCACCUUCUCCGUUCUUCAAGAUAAUCGAGAUCGUCGCGGUGAAGGUCGUCCAUGUUGGCCUCGUUAUACAGUGUGACGCAAGGCGACCCCAGGGAAAGCUCGGAGGGUAGGACCGCUUCAGCGCCGUACAUCAGAAAAAAUGGUGUUUCCCCCGUGGCGCGGCUUGGGGUAGUCCGAUUUGCCCACAACACGGUGGGCAACUCCUCGAGCCAUGAAUCCCCGUGCUUCUUCAGGACGUUGUAUGUCUUGGUCUUGAGUCCUUUGAGGAUUUCGGCGUUGGCUCGCUCGACUUGGCCAUUGCUCUGGGGGUGGGCGGGUGAGGCAAAGCACAAUUUGAUGCCCAUGUCAUCACAGUAAUCGCCAAAUAGCUCACUGGUGAACUGGGUGCCGUUGUCUGUAAUGAUACGGUUGGGCAAUCCGAAUCGAGACGUAAUGCCUCUGAUGAACUUGAGGGCAGAAUGCUUGUCGAUUUUGACGACCGGGUAGGCCUCGGGCCACUUGGUGAAUGUGUCGAUGGCAACGUACAAGUGCAGAUACCCGCCUCGAGCUGCCUUGAAUGGUCCAAGGAUGUCUAGCCCCCAGACUGCGAAAGGCCAAGAGAGUGGGAUGACCUGCAAGGCUUGGGCCGGCUGGUGGGUCUGCUUGGCGUGGAACUGGCAUGCCUUGCACCGCUGGACCCAUUCUUGGGCAUCUUGUAAUGCAGCCGGCCAAUAAAAACCUUGCCGGAAGGCUUUUCCGACCAAAGUUUCUGAGGACGAAUGGGCCCCGCACUCACCCUGAUGGGCGUCGGCUAUGAGCUCGAUGCCCUGCUCUCGAGAAAUACACUUCAAGAGUAUCCCGUUGGCGGCACGCCGGUAGAGGGUCCCUUCUAUGAGGACGUACCGUUUGGAGAUGCGCGCGACCUUUUCAGCUUCUGCGCGAUCCUUAGGAAGAGUAUUGCCGUCGAGAUACCCCGGAUGUCGGUCAUCCAUACGAGGGUUGGAGGGCGUGUUGUUGGGGUCCCUCAAAGGGUUCGGUCGCGCCGAUGGUUGCGCGAGCCUUUCUUCGAAAGUCCCUGGGGGGAGUGGGGCUCGUGCCGACGCAACACGCAACAACUCGUCAGCAACUGUGUUGCCGCGUCGGGGCACGUGCUGGAGCUCAAGUCCGUCGAAGUGGCGUUCCAUGCGCCGUACUUCGUAGACAUAUGCUUCCAUUUGCGGGUCGGUGCACUGAUACUCUUUGGAUACUUGAUUUACGACCAGCUGGGAGUCACCUAGGACCAGGAGAUGGCGGAUGCCCAUUCUGGCUGCCGCCCUCAAUCCCGCGAGGAGCCCUUCAUAUUCUGCCAUGUUGUUCGUGGCUCGGAAGUCGAGUCGAACGACGUAUUUGAGGACGUCUCCGCUUGGCGAGGUCAGUGUGACUCUGGCACCUGCACCUGAAGGUUGAGGGAGCCAUCGAAAUGCAUAAUCCAGUGCCCGCCGCGAAUGUCGGCGUUUGGAUCCUCUUCCUCUCUAGGGGGGAAAGGGACAUCGGAUGGAACAGGUUCAUCCACUGGGGUCCAUUCCGCGAUGAAGUCAGCCAGGACUUGACUUUUGAUCGCGUGCCGCGGUUCGAAGUGCAGAUCGAACUCAGCCAGCUCGAUGGCCCAUUUUACCACCCGUCCAGUACCCUCUCGGUUGUGCAAAAUUUGGCCGAGAGGGUACGACGUCACUACGGAAACCUGAUGCGCUUGGAAGUAGUGACGCAACUUCCUUGAGGCCAUCAAAACGGCAUAAAGCAUUUUCUGGGCCUGCGGAUACCGGGUUUUCGCAUCUCGAAGUGCCUCGCUGACAAAGUAGACGGGCCGCUGCACCUUUCGGCGGGGCCGGUUCGUGUUGUCAGGGGUAGAUGAUCCGGGGCGCGCCUGUUCGGAGGUCCCGGGGGGAUCCCGGAUUGCCUCAGGAUCAUAAGGCUCGGGGCCACCUGCCAAAGCCUCCCCUCCUCCCUCGGGGGCCUCGGGGUCCUCCCGGGGGCUGGGAGCUUUGGGCGCUAGGCCUUCGGGGGACGAGGGGCCGUUGCGAGCCGGAGGGGCCUCCCGUUCGCCUUCCUCACGCUCAACUAUUAGGGCGGCACUCACCACAUGAGGGGUCGCGGCCAAGUAGAGUAGCAAUGGUUCCUCCGGCCCCGGGGCUACCAAGACCAGGGGGGAAGUGAGGUAAGCUUUCAGCUGAUUGAGAGCUUGCUCAGCUUCCUCCGUCCAUAUAAACGGCCCAGAGCUCUUGAGGAGCUUGAAUAGGGGUAGCGCCCUCUCACCCAGCCUCGAUAUAAAUCGACUCAGGGCGGCCAUGCAUCCAGUGACGCACUGCACAUCCCUAAGCUUGCUGGGGGGGCACAUCCUCUCUAUCACACGUAUUUUCUCAGGAUUUGCUUCUAUGCCCCGGGAAGAGACUAGAAAACCGAGAAGCUUGCCCGCCGGCACGCCGAACACACACUUAUCGGGGUUCAGCUUUACGCGCGUGGACCUAAGACUAUCGAAAGUUUCGGCCAGGUCCUGUAGCAACGUGUCCUGGUGGCGCGUCUUUACCACCAGGUCAUCGACAAACGCCUCUACAUUGCGCCCAACCUGAUUACUUAAAGUAAUACGAGUCAUGCGCUGAAAAGUAGGGCCUGCAUUCUUCAAUCCAAAAGGCAUAGUUGUAAAACAAAAGGUGCCCACAGGAGUAAUAAAGGCGGUUUUUUCCUCAUCUUCCCUAGCCAUGCGAAUCUGAUGGUACCCAGAGUAUGCAUCUAGAAAACAUAAAAGGUCGCACCCCGCAGUGGAGUCGACUAUCUGAUCUAUGCGUGGCAGAGGGAAGGGAUCUUUAGGGCAUGCCUUGUUGAGGUCUGUGUAGUCGAUGCACAUCCGUAGCUUGCCGUUGGCCUUCGGGACAACCACCGGGUUUGCCAGCCACUCCGGAUGGAUCACUUCGCGGAUGAAAUCAGCCUCCAGGAGCCGCGCAACAUCCUCCCUGAUGAAGGCAUGCCGCUCCGGGGCUUGACGCCGCACUUUCUGCCGGACAGGUCGCGCAUCCGGUCGCAUGGCAAGGCGGUGCUCGAUCACCUCCCUAGGGACCCCGGGCAUAUCCGACGGCUUCCAUGCGAAGACGUCAGAAUUCGCCCGCAGGAAGGAGAUGAGCGCGCUUUCCUAUUUGGCGUCCAAAGUUCCGCCAAUCUUGGCGGUCUUGGACGGAUCGUCGCCAAGGGGGAUCUCCUUGACGGGCACCUCGUCAGCCGAGGUGAGGCGCUUCUUGGAGGUGUGGGACGCAGAGGCCUCUGGGGCCUGUGGCUCCGUGGCCACCACUAGGUUGUCUGCGCGCUGCUCCGCGCAGGUGAGGGCGACCUUGACUUCACCAAAGACGGUGAUGGGGCCAGCAGGGCCCGGCAUCUUCAUCUGGAGGUAGGCGUAGUGAGUGGCGACCAUGAACUUCACCAACGCGGCUCUGCCUAGAACUGCGUUGUAGGGCAGAUUGAGAUCCGCCACAUCGAAGUCGAUCCGCUCGGUGCGGAAGUUUUUGGAGUCGCCGAAGGUUAUCGGGAGCUCUACGUGGCCAAGCGGCCACGUGUGCCCCGGAGUAACGCCAAUGAUAGGGAGCGACGGCUGGAGCUUCAUCCCCGGGGCCUUGAGCGCGUCAAAGGCAGCCGGGGAGAUGAUGCUCAGACUGGCCCCCCCAUCCACCAGCACACGCUUCAUCUUGACAUUGUGGAUAGUCGGGGAGACCACCAGGGCCAACUUCCCUCCCCGAGCGAGCACCGUCGAAUGGUCGCUCUGGUCGAACGUGAGCUUCACCUCUGACCAACGCGCCUUCCGGACCGCUUCGUGCAUGGGAACGGCGGCCAGAAGCUCUCGCCUCAUGGCCUUGAAGCCUUGGCAAAAGGUGUGAGCGCAAGCCCCCCUCCCCUCCCGUCGAGCGUGACGACGGUCCCCUGAGGUAUCUGGAAGUCCAGAUCCUCACUGUCUCCGCCAUCAUCGGCGGGGGCAUUGUUCUUGGCCUCCUCUCGCCGGUCACCGGUUGAGGUCGCGGGAGCUUUGCCCUCCCGUCGACCCUGCUGCUUCUCCUCAUCGGCCUUUCAGAACCGCUUGGCCAAAUUCUUGACCGAGCGGCAGUCGGCGAGACUAUGGCGGUAAGUGUUGUGGACCGAGCACCACUUGUCCGCCGACCGGCCCUCGCCGGAGGGAACAGUGGGGCUUGGCUUAUCGCCGGUGGCCUUUCCUUUGCACGGGGCCCAUGCGGGCCCAUCUGCCGCAAGGACAUGGCCCUCGUCAUCGAAGCAGGCUGGUUUCCUUUUGCCUCUCCUAUCUCGCCGCUUGGAGCGGGGGCAGACUCGGGGGUAGCCGCGGCCGCCGCACCGGUGCUGGGAGAGUUCCAAGCCCACGCCUCCUCCUUUUGGGCCACCUUGUCCGCCAGCUCGAAGAGCUCGGCGGUGGUCUUGGGCUCCUUGGAGGCUAUCUUCUCCAGCAUGCAAUUAUGCCGCACGCCGUUCCGGAAUGCAUAUACAACCGCGUGAGCUGGAAUGCACGGAAUAGUGUUGCGGACCUGACAGAAGCGCUGUAUGUACGAACGGAGGGACUCGUCGUCCUUCCGUUGUACAGCGUGUAGGUCCGUCUCUUCCCCCGGACGGGGAUAUGUGCCCUGGAAGUUCGUAAUGAACUGCUGGCACAGAUCCUCCCAGGAGUGAAUGGAGUCGGGGGGCUGGGUCAUCAACCAACCACGCGCCUGACCCUUGAGGGUCAUGGGAAAGUAAUUCGCCAUGACCCGGUCAUCACCCCCUGCAGCCACGAUAAUCGUGGUGUAGAUCUGGAGGAACUCGGAGGGAUUGAUGCUACCAUCAUACUUCUCCGUAAGGUUGGGGCGAAACUUCGGGGCCACCGGACAUUCCGGAGACUCGCCACAAAGGCCCUACAACCUGUCCCCCCAGGGGUGAGCGUAGGGGGAGGGCCGCCUCGUGAAGGGGAGCGUGGCACUCUAAAUGAGAAGGCGCCUUCCCCCAUGCGGGCAGCUCGGCGCUCGUCCCGGCGUCGCUCAAUGUUGAUUCGAGCGUCCUGCGCCCCGUAGAGGCCGUCAUGAUGCCUCCGGCUUCCCGAGGCCCCCGACGAUGUUGGAACUGUGGACCGCCUUGAGAUCGUGGCCGAUCGGUGGGCCCUUCUCCUUGCCGACGAGGAGAGGGUAACCGAGGUACGCGACGUACCAGUGGCGGUGGAUCGGCCGCCCGUGGCCAACUGCCGCUGGGCAGUAGUGACCAAGUUGGCCACGUCGUCCAGCCAGUGCUGAACGGGGGUCUCCGACUCCGGGUUUACCGGGGGAUGCCGCAGAAGGGCACUCGCCGCCUGAAGCGCUCCUUGGGGCGAACCGCCGUCUCCAUAAUCGAGACGGCGGCGUGCCCCGACGCAUCGCGGCCUCCCUCCGCCAGGGGGUGGAGAGAGAGCCGAACCACCCGAAUGGGUGGGAUCCUCCCUCCGCGAGGGUUCGCGGCGGGGAGGAGUUGGAGAACCGUGGCGAUGGUGACGAGGAUCACGGCUUUCUCCGGAAUCCCCACUCCCGGACGGGGUGGGGGUAAACGCCACUGCCUCCUCCUCUACCUCCAGGACCUCGUCCAUCAUCGGCUAAGGCCUGGAGAAACUUGGGACGGAAGAAAGCGAUUUCUUCUCGAAACGCGCAACUGCCCCCUACCUGGCGCGCCAGCUGUCGAGGGAAGAUCCUCGAUAGCGGGGAGUCGUAAGAGCCCCCUUUUGUGAGUUCGGCCGGGGGCAGAGGCUCGCCUCUUGGAAAUCACUCGUUCGUCCCUAAGACUAACGGCUAGCUUGCACACAGUCGGAUUAUACAGGUUCGGGCCGCUAUGGAGCGUAAAACCCUACUACUGUGUUUGGGAUUAUGGAUGAGUUUUACAAAGGUUUCCUCACUCCGGAGAGCGUUUUCGCUUUCUUUCUCCUGGAGUUCAGGUUUUCUGGGAGUCGUCCCCCGAUCUCAGUGGGCAAGGUCCUCCUUUUAUAGUUCAAGGGGAUACCACAUGCGCCGCCUCUACCUACCCUCCAUGGGAGGGGGAUCCCACUCCACUUUGACUGGGUUUCAAUCCAUGCCUUCUCCCGGAAGCUAAGCAGCAACCGGUUCUCGAGUGGAACCCGGCGUCGUCCCCCGCCUGACACGGGGAACAACCCUGUCAUUCCCUCAUAAAUGAGUGAGGACUUGCGGCAGCCCUUCCUCGAGCGACGCUCCGAUGUGACGGAUCAUACCUACGCCCACUCCGCCGGAUACAGAGGCGACGUGGGGACAUGAUUACCCUACCAAUCGGAUGUGACAGCAAUAGGCCGGUCACAGACCGGUCACAUCCGAUUGACAGGGGCCAGUUAGGCGUGCCGCAUGUCUGCCCUUACUGCAUUAAAUGCGGUGAGGGACAGUUGGGGCGUCGCACAUUUAUGUUUGUUCAGCCUGAGUUCCCCUCUCGCUCUCUCCCUCCGCCGCGUGGCAGCCGGGCGAGGGCCUCGGGGCGAAGCUACGGGAGAGCUCGAGGGGGCGACAUCACGCCCCGAGGCCCCCCCCCCCUGCCGCUUUCGCGACUCGCGGGACGCGUCGGUGGGGCUAGUGUCACGUCCUGAUUUUCGUUUCAGAUUUAUAAAUUAUUUAAUAAAUUAUUAUUAGAAUUUAUAUUAAAUGUUCAUUAAUUUACAAGUGAAGUUAAAUGUGGGAAAUAAAAUUUCCUAAAUAUAAAGCAUGGAUGGAUUUAAUUUUUAUUAAAUCCUCCAUGGUUAAUUAUACUCUCUGGAAUUUUCUCGGAUUUUUCAGAGCUCAAUUCUUAAUUUUAAUCAUACAAAGAAAAUUUCAGUAAUUAUCCACAUAUUAAAUUAAUCAUUAAAUGGUCUGAUUAUAAUUUUUUUAAAUACUUUGAGGGUCCAAGUAUUUUCAAGAUUUUUCUUGAAAUUAUUUGAGCAAUAUAAGUAUUUUUAACAAUUCAAAGAUCAUUUCAGUGAUUAAUUUAAUUGGAAAAGUAAUUAAAAUUCACCUUUUCCUUUUCGGGCCGAAUUAGGAAAAGUCCUCUCACUCUCGGCCCAGUCUCCUCUCAGCCUGCAGUCCUUUCCCUCUCUUUCCCAAAGUCUGCUUUUUGUCCCUCCUUUAAUCAGUCCUUGGAAGUAGAAGCCCAGCCGAAAGUCUAAUUAGCCUCCCCGUGUACUAUUCAUCUUCAAGCUUGGACAGAAGCCCGAGCUGCCGUCCUGUACCUGUGCAGCCGCCGCUUCCUCCACCAAAUCCGGCCUUUUCUCUUGUGUUUUCCUAAAAUUAGUUGAGGGGAAAUCAUCUCCACCUUAUCCUCUCCCUUUCCUUUAAAGUCUCGGAGAUUAAUUUUGCCCGGAUAAACCAAAUCGAAUUCGUUUUCGAGUUUAUCUCUCCAACUAACCCUCGGAUUUUCCGGCUCAAAUCCUCUCGUUUGGAGUCCGAUCUCUCUAAUCCAAGCCUAUAAAUAGCAUCCCUUUGGCGUCCUCUUUCGUUUGCCCCAACUCCCGAGCCUUCUCGUCCCCCGUAGCGCCGCCGCCACGCCGUCCAAGCCGCCGCCGCCGCCGCCGCCGGCCGACGUCCAGCCGCGCCGCGCCGUCGCGUUAUCAGUCGCCGCCGCUUCCUGUCGCCGCCGUUAGAUGCGCACGGAGGCGGGGAACCUCGGCCGCCCCCUCGCCGCCGUUGCCGGUCACCGGAGAGCCGCCGCCGCCGACGACCCGAGCCGUGCCGCCGCUAGAGCUCGCCGCCGGCCACCAUUCGUCGUCGUCCAUCGCGUUUGCUAGUACCGGUGAGUUCGCGUCGUCGUCCUCUACGUGUAGAUGCCUUUAGAUAGCCCUGCCGACCUCUCUAUCGCCGGCGAGGUCGUCGCCCGUGUCAUGCCGGCGAUGAUGACGUCAGCAUGACGUCAUAUUUCCUUUUUCCAGUUUUUUUUCUAGAUGCAAAUAGAUUAAAACUUCAGAAAUUCAUAACUAAUUCAUCGUAACUCCGAUUCGAGUGGUUCAAGUUGCUAAAUGUUUCUAAAAUCGAGAUCUACAUGUUAAAAAUAUCCACAUGUACUGUUUAUGAUUGUUUUUGUACUGUUUUGUUGAUUUUAUUCAUUUGCUUUAGUUUCCGACGUUCCGGAGGAGAGCGUUUUCGUUGAGAAAGGUUCGGAAGCCUUUGCAGAAGCUCAAGGCAAGUCACACGGAUCCCAAACGACCCUGAGCAUGUUGAACCCGUUUAAAGCUAAUGUUUUAUUUCAACUUAUACAUUAUUUUCGAAUGUCAUCGGGUGGUGAGCCUUUCCCAAUUAAUUAUUGGCCGAAGAUGAAUUUAUUUUCCUACGGGUUAUAAUUCGAUUAGCUAGAACCUUAUAUAUUGGUUUAGUUCAGCUAAAUGCUAUAUAUAUAUAAUUGCUUAGCCAUGCUUAGAAACAUUAGCUCAUUAAUGGGGUGAAUCAUAUUACAUUAUUACUUAUGGUUAGAUUUAAAUGUAGCUCACGAUGGUUAAUCGUGUUAUGAUAAUUAAUUGAUAAUUAAAACUUGUCAAUGGUGGGUUGUGAGCACAUGGUUUUGAAGGUCGUGCUCAUGGCAAUUAAGGACCGGUUCGCGAGCUACUGUUGUGAAACAUUAACCGUACCAAUCACAAGCCAGCGUGGGCAACGGGGGCAACGGCUUUAUCUUUUGUAUAGCAUGGUUCAUUACGGGGUGCCAGACUGAGAAGCGGCGAGAAGUCCGUGGGGGUCGCUGGGGAGUCCAUGCCUCUGGUUUUUGAGGGGGUGAUUAUGAUCCAUGAAUGGUGCACUGUGGUGAGUUGUGUUGUGCGAAGGGUAUUGUCACGAUUUCCCCCUUUGCAGUGCCGUGGUGGUACUUCGGGGCAUGGCAACAUGUGUGGAAUCGUGUCUUGUAGGUACAGUGGUACACCUCUGGCCAGAGUAAAACUAUUCGAAUAGCCGUGCCCGCGGUUAUGGGCGGGUUGAGCAAUGUUUUUUUGAUUAGUCUCACAACUCUCACAAAUAAUUAUUGAUGCAAUAACUGGUAAUAAUUUGUUUAGCUCCUGGUUUGGAGUUAGAUCUGUACAGCCGGGUACGGUUGUUCAGGAUGGUUGGCCCUGUGCAGCAUUGGGGUGCUGUUCAGUGUUGAUUAAAAUUGAUGAUUAAUUACUCUACUGUUUCACUACUCUUAAAUCUUUACUAAAUGCUGCUUUCGCAAAUGAGACUAUAUUAUGCCAUCCUUUGGUAUCCUUGUGUACUUGCAUAUUUGCUGUGUGGCUUGUUGAGUAUGUCAUAUGCUCAUUCUUGCAAUAAUCAUUAAACCUCAGUUGAAGAAAAAGGAUCCAGAAGGAGAAGACGUUUGGCUUAUACCCCAGUUGAGCUGCCUGUGGGAGUGGAGCUGAAGCCAUCGCUAGACUGUUAUUCCGCUGCUGUUUUUCUUUUCUUUUGUAAGUAUGUAACGUUAUUAUUAUGAUGGAUUUGUAUAUUAAAUUGUCAGUUUGUGUACCUCGGCUGAUUCCUAGACGAGGAUUUUAUGCACAAAUUAGUUCGGAAAUUACUAGUGAAUUUCCGGGCGUGACAGCCAGCUUGCAGAGCCACGUGGCUGGAGGGAAGGUAACUCCCCUCUACUUCACAUACCCCCGGACCCAUAUCUCCGACAGUUAAUUUCCUGGGGAGGGUAUUCCUUCGUAUUUAGCCCCGGUUGUAUGAUCAUGACGGGCUGUCGAAAGAAACUCGGCAGUCAGGGGUGGCUUCUCGAAGUACCAAGAGGGCAUCGGAUAGAGGGUAUUAGCUAGUAUAUCAGUUAACUAGAAUGUAUGUAUACUAUACUAUGUAUACUAUUAAGUAUAGGAAUAGAUUUCCUUUCUCUUUUCUUUCCACCUAGCUUAGAUUAUUUAUUAUGAGAAUGAGUUGUUAAUGCUUGUGUGUCACUCUACCCUUGGAUUAUCUUAACCCCUGCUUAGAAUAUGAUUAUCACAAGUAAUAUAUAAAUUAUUAGUCAAUCUCUCUUUACAUGAUCUUCCCACGGGAUAAAAUAAAUACGAUACCCUUGGAAUACUCUCGGGUUAAAUGCUACAAUGGUAUAUCCGUGUGCUUGCGGAUGAACUCUGUAACCAUAAUAUACCAGAACCAGAAGUAUUUCUGCGUCAUUGCUUGGAAUUAUAUUUCUACUAAUGUCGUCAAGAAAUACCAAAACCCGUGAGCCGCUAGCCGAGCCUUCCAGGCCUAGCCAACCGACUCGUUUAGCCACGCACGCACACAUGAUUGCGUUGCCGCCUUUAUUUCGUGUCCUGGCACAGCGCGCGUGUCCUGCGCCGUGUCAACCACGCCAGGAUUUGUUCGCGCGAGCAGCCUCCGUCCCGUGCGCCGCCUCACUUCAGCGCCGUGUCGGCCUUGUCGCUCUCGUGCGCCGCAACCGUCCGCGGGCAAGCCUGACGGACACAGCGGGCCAGGACAAGCGCCAUACAGCUCCUUUCUUCUCCCGUGAGCCGCAAAGUGCUCCCGAGCACCGCGGUGCACCGGACCCGCCUCGACCCCGUGCCUUGUUGCUCCUCGCUGUGCCGAUCGCACAUGCGCGCAACAACGAAAAAAAAUUGAAAAAAAUGUUUUUUUUACCGAAAUCACAAGAAUAUACUGAUUUGGGAAAGAUUUACGUAAAUAUACAGCCUUCUCUCUUUUGUUUAGUGAGACGGCGAUCUCGCUUAACGGCGGCGCGAAGGCAAUAACACUAUCGCUAAUCAAAAAGCGGCACCGCUAAUCACGCGGUCUCGUGCUCCAAAGGCGCGAGAGCGCUUUGGUCUCGCACCUAUGCUAUGCGCGAUACCGUGGACAUUAUGGGUACCACAUACCCACACAGCAUGGAUAUUUACAAGGGAUAGUCUAUAUGGGUAGAAUAUGUUUAGAAAAGGAUUCGGGAAUUAUGUUAACUUAUAUCAAGAAAAUAUCCUGUAAUCCUAGUUGGUUACUAUUGUAAUAUAUCUAUAAGGUCUAGUCCGUAAGGAACAAGGUCUGUACAUUGUAAUCCUGGCUGAUGAGGACAUCCUUUCCAACGAUACAACCAUGCCUAUUGCACAGUAAGGACCAAUCACUAGAGCUCGAGCUCGUGAACUUAAUUAUUAGGUAAAGUCGUUCCUAGCUAAUCAUACAAGUGCUUAUCAAAAUUGGGUGCUACUAAGUGGUUGUUGUGAUCUACUUGUUAGGAAUAUGAGAGAGGAACCAGAUCGCAAACAGCAUAAGCAGCGUUGAUUUGGUGAAGUCAAUGCUCUUCACUCCGAAGUGCGAUGGGGCAAAUGAGUACUUGUUGGAAAGAUCUCGUCGUCUACUUUCAACUAUGUGUGGCCUCAGCAUCAGAUUCCGCCCAAGCUGCUCAGAAUGGCUAAAAUAGUUUUCGCAUUAGAAACUUGGGCUUGGGCCUUGUAUCUUUACAGCCCAUUAGAGGUCCACAAAAACUAGGGUUUUCUUCCACCUCCUCUCCUGGUCAUCCCUCCACCCAUAUAAACCCUAGCAGCCACCAUUUUGCAUUUUUUGGGUUUUGUUUAGAUGCAAGUUUAGUUUCAGCUACUUGUACUCGCGUGUGUCAGCUAGACCACCCGGAUACUUGUAUUCAGAACCCCAUAUUCGAUUGUUUCAGUUUCAUCAUUUGACAAGUGUUGUGAGCUGUUUCCUUUUGUUAACUUGUUCUUGCUUGUUCUUCGAUUGCUUGUAGGUUCAAGGUUGUUCUUGGCACGGCAAGAACAACAACAACGUGGAGUCUGUGUACCGGUUGCUAAGGCGCAGCACCCCUGUGGUAGUUGUAGUCGGACCGCCAAUGUCGUGUCCUCCCCCAAAUCAAAGUUUAUUGUAGGGUCCCGAAACUAAUGAUUCGGUAACUGAUGUAUCAAGCCCUGGAUCAGUAAAUUGAUACAGAUUCAACAAUCUGGAUCUUCAUUGCAUACAUUUGGACAAGAUUUCAAAGGAAAUUUCUUUACAUAAAAUAAUAGGGUAUUUAUAAAAUUGUGGCUAACUAUUACAACAGAAGCUAUAGAAUGACCUAACAAAACCUAGCUUCUAAAUCCUCAUAAGCUAGAUAACAAUCAAGUGCUUCUCAAAAUCUUAGGCCAUGUUUGGGGAGCUGUUAACGACCAAAUUUGGUAAAUUAAGCAUCGGAGAUGGAGUUAAAACCGAAGCGGAAUCAAAAGGAUUGACGGUUUCGGAAACAGAGUGCGCAUCGGCAGAGUUCGAAUCGGAUAAGGUGGCCAGAACAGCCGAUGAAGCCGAUUCCGACAAGAAAAAGAUCAAAGUCAUUAUCAGAUUGGGUUGAUAUGCUUAAUGAGUAUUGCCACACAUGGAUUGAGUCCGAAGAAGGCAAUUGUAUCUAUUAAUUAGGAUAUUUUAUGCAAUUUCCUUAUAUUUUGAGUCGGUAAGAGUUCACCUAAGGGACUUGUUCGUAUCUAGAAUUGUAAUAGAGAUAGGAGUCGUGUCUGACAAGGACAUAUUAUGUACUUUUGGUAUAAAAGCAAACCCAAACCCAUGUAAUCAGAUAACAAUCAGUUCAACAACACUUUCGGCGCAUUGCCACCCUUUUACUUUCGUUUUGUUUCGACGAGUUCUUGCUUUCGAGUUUGGCUGCAUCAGUCUAGAUCUCCGACAAGAGGUAAAACUUGUUAUGACGGCUUGCGUUCUCGGGAUUAGUGCUUCCAUUUUUAUGACACUCUAAUCUUGUUGAUGUAAUUCGUCGAGUUAUCAUAUAUUCUAUAUAAUCUAGAUCAUUAUUGCUAUCUAACCUUGAAUCGGCUAACAUCUACUAGUGGAUUCCAGCCGAUAAGGUUAGAUAUCAACGUUGACUUAGAUUAUAUAGUGUAUCUACCAUCUCGAAAGACUUUCAUUGACUUGUUUAGAUCUUAUACUUCUCUUUAUGCUUAAUGCUGCAUCGGUUAGGUCCGACCUAUUAAGUAAUAUCUAGAAUUAUAAUAUCUAGCUUGUUUUAUUAUUGCUAUUAGAGAUAGUAUCGGAGUUUCAGCCGUUCUUACCUGAUCUUGUUCAUUAUUUUAUGUACUUGAUAUGCUAAAUCUGCCCUUUAUAUCAAGAUCUCACUGUGGUAAAAUAUAUUAAGCUUGUUAUUAAUCUGUUAAGCUAUCUUAGCACUUGAUUGAUUUAUGUUUAAUAUAUUUUGCUUAUAUUGAUAUCUUAGUAUAAAGUGGUAUCGGAGUAUUAGCCGAUACACGUUAAAUCUAUAACAUCGGCUAUGCUAUAAGCAUAUAUAAUCUCUGUUUUGGAGUACUUUUAAAUGAUUUAUACUAUCUCGGCACACUAUCCGAUCUAUCCCAAUCACUUAGUUUAAACAUAUUUUCAAGACUUAAUUUAUGUAUUGUUGAUAUCUACAGCCGAUCGAAUAGAUUUAACUUUCUUUUUGCUUUAUAUCUCACUGUCGAUCUACUUUACGCAACAUCGGCUAGGUUAUAAACGAUACGUCAUUGGCCAUAGCCGAUCGGCUAUCGUUUGAGGAUUUAACUUUGUUUCCAUGUUUCUUGUUGGUUACAGGAUCAAACCAACUGGCACGUCCUUGAACCUAAAAGCAAGAUUUAGGUCCUGCACUAGAGUUCAGAUCUCUCAGGCCAGUGUGUGUUUUUCACAUCAACGGGAGCUUAAGAUUCUGAGAAGCAGCUGGUGAGAAGCUAGCUGGUUCCUAGCUUCUAGUUUCUAGUUUAUUUUCUGGAUUCUACAACUACAGUUUCUCAGUAUCUGGACCAAAAAGUAGACUGUUUAGGGGAGCUUCUGAUCACGGAAAAAGCUGUAGUAAUUAGAAGCUCCCUAAACACGAAAAAGCUAACGGGCGAUCAGUCGCGCGCGCCCCUUCCCGCGCGCGGAGAGGGACGGCGGACGCGCCGCACGAGAGGAGGAGGGAGUAGCGAGUUUUCCGUUUUUCCCUUUGUUUUUUGUCGUUUCUGUUCGGUUGUUUUUUUCUUUUUUUUCUUUUUUUUCUCCGUUUUUCUCGUUUCUUUUUGUUUGGUUUUUUCAUUUUUUUUUCCGGUUUCUCUUCUGUUUCUUUUUUGUUUUUUUAAAGAUGCAUGAAUAUAAAGUUUGUAUUCGUACGUAUACAAAGUUUGUAUAUGCGUAUGCAAAGUCUGUAUACGUGUAUGCAAAGUUUGUACUUUGUAUACGUGAUGUAUUUUCUAGUUUUUAUUUUAUUUUUUAAUAUGUACGUAUAUAAAGUUUGUAUAUAUCGUAUAUAAAGUUUAUACACAUCGUAGUUUGUAUACGCGUAUGCAAAGUUUGUACUUUGUAUACGUGAUGUAUUUUCUAGUUUUUAUUUUAUUUUUUAAUACGUACGUAUAUAAAGUUUGUAUAUAUCAUAUACAAAGUUUGUAUACGUGCAUAUUUUUUUAUACAUCAAUAUAUAUAUAUAUAUAUAUAUAUAUAUAUAUAUAUAUAUGUUAUAGUAGUAAUAAUAAUAGUAGUAUAACAACAGCAGCAGCAGUAGUAAUAGUAGUACUGUAGUAGUACUAGUACUAUUAGUACUGACCGCGCGCCCGACUAGUGGCGUAUUAGGAACAGGCCUUUUGAGAUUAAAGAGGUCCUAAGAUGGAUUCCUCACUUAUUAAUGGUGGCGUAUUAGGAACAGGCCCUUUGAGCUUAAAGAGGUUCUAAGAUGGAUUCCUCACUUAUUAAUGGUGGCGUAUUAGGAACAGGCCCUUUGAGCUUAAAGAGGUCCUAAGAUGGAUUCCUCACUUAUUAAUGGUCGAAAAUGUGUUUGACGCGCGUUCGCGAAUUAGUUUCUCGUCUUUCAGCCGGGCCGUAGUCUAUUCUGUCCGCCUAUUCAAAAAGCCCAUAGCAGCAAGCAGAAGCCCAUCGUAAUCGGUUAGCCUCUCUCUCCUCUGACUCUGACUCCUUCCUCCCUUGCCCAUCAUCGUUCGUUCCCCUCCCCUCCUCGAUUCCCCGUCUCCUCCGCGUGAGCUCGCCGGAGCACCGCCGGCCGAUCCCCCCCACCCCCGCCACGCGAGCAGCGCCGCUCGCGCGGCCUGCUGCCCCCGCCUCACCCUCGCCGGUGAGCAAUCCCUCCUCCUCUUUCUCAGGCCUCUCUUCUAGAUCUGGAAGCUUUUCUCCUCCCCUUGCCGUAACCCUAGCGCUAACAUUUGGUUUUGUUUUUCUGACCAAAUUUUUUUUGGGGAGGGGUUUCAGGUGAACGGCGCAUGCCCCCCCGACGUUAGGUGUCGCGCCUGGAGACGCGGAGAUGGAUCCGAUGGAUAUCGUGGGGAAGUCCAAGGAGGACGUCUCCCUCCCCAAAUGUGAGCUGAACUCCCUUGAUUCUGAUUAUGCGUUUUUUUUUCAUGCUUUCUCUUCGUGCCUAGAAAUUUUGAUGCAAUUGUGCUUGUCUGCGACCGGGCCAUGGUUAAUCUGCGAAUUAUCUGGUUAGGGUAAUUUAAUUUAAUUUAAUUUGCGUCAGUUCUAUUUCUUUUUAGAGUUGAUACUCCCGUCAGGUUACAUUAUGUGUGUUGUCUCAGGCAGGCGACUUGUUGAGACAAGAAUUUAGGGUUUCUUUUUUUUUUGUAUGUGAUUUUAUUUACAUGCUCUUACAGAGGGAGGGAGGGGGUGUUCUGCUGUGCUAAUCCGUUGUUAGGGAGGUUGAAUUCACUUUUGGUGAAUAGAUUCUGUAUGCCUAGGUUGUGUGAAUUUGUGGUAAAUGUGGACUUGAAGAUUGCGCUGAUUAUUUUAGGGGUUUUCUUAUUUGAUGCAUAGUGAGAUUGUAUGUGAUCGGUCCAUGUUUCAGAUAUUAUCGAUGACAGCAGACAUGGAAUAGAAUGUUAACUUUCAUGGAAAAUCUAGAUUGUGCUGCUUAUUUCUUAGGAGUAUGUUGCUUGAAGUUGGCACUACAUUUGUCGGGUUCUGAUAAUCUGAUUGGUGUUGUAAAUAUGGUACUCCUUUUGUGUACAUUGAUUUCAUGCUCCAAGUUGACGAUUUGUUUCUUUUGUGGUUAUAGCACAUAGCCACAUACCUUUCCUUGAGUAGUUGUUUCCUUCAGAUCGAAAAUUAAUGCAUUUCAAUUAUAAACCUUGUGAUAAAUGGUCUUUGAUGCUUACUAUGAAGUCCAGUAAUGUUUACUGCUUUGACGUUUGACAGCACAGCGCAGCUGUUUUAGCGAAUUAUAAUUGUGAUCCAUAAAUAUUUCUCUGGGCCUGAUGUAGUAUUUCUAGCUAUGAAUUUGGACAACUGUGAAUCGAAAUUCAUAGCCAAAAGUUGCUUUAUUUUAGGGCGGAGGUAGUAGCAUUUUUCUGUAAUAAAUUGUAGCUGAUUUAAGUUAGCCGUUUUCUGUUACAUUUCAGCAACAAUGUUUAAGAUUAUAAAGGAGAUGUUGCCCCCUGAUGUUCGAGUGGCAAGAGAUGCACAAGAUCUUCUUGUGGAAUGCUGUGUAGGUAAGAGAAGUUGGUACUAUUUUUAAUCAAGAAUAUGAACAGUGUAUUUUUAAUCUUACAAAGUUAUCCGUUUUAAAAACAGUCUGGUGGACCAUUGUGACGUUAUUAUCUGGUAAAAUUUAGUCAAAUCUGACUGGAUGUAUUUACAAUUCUAAGUUUUCUAUGUUUAAUCAUUAAUGUAAAAGAGAAUUAAGGGUAUUUACGAUUUUAAGUGUUCUAUGUUUAGUCAAGUCUGACUGGAUGUAUUUACGAUUCUAAUGCAAAAUCUAUUGUGGCCCGUAAAAAAAAUGGUAGGGUCGAUAUCUGAUUUGUGUAUAGUAUUGUUAAUCACAUACCGUAUUUUCCUGCCUGGAGCAUAAAAUCCAUACUCUCACCAAAUUUAUUCAUGUUAUAAUCCCUCCAUGUUGUGAGUUCCUUAAACAUUAAAAUAAGUUAUUCCCCAAACAGUUUGGAUAUUUUCUUGGAUGUCUCUUGCAAGAUGUCUCUUGCAACUUUCAACCUUAUUUCAACCUAAGGGAUAUUGGUUGUAAAAAAUAGCUGAAAUUUCUCCCUUUCUGGAUCUAAUCACAAUAUGCAUAUUUUUUAUAUAUCAGAGUUCAUCAACCUCCUAUCUUCUGAAUCCAAUGAAGUUUGCAGCCGAGAGGACAAGAAAACUAUUGCUCCUGAGCAUGUUCUUAGAGCUCUGCAGGUUUGCCUUUCAUUUCCUGAAUAUUAACAUUAUUUUUUAUCACUUAUGAUGCUGUCCUACCUGUUUUAUCAUGGUCGUAGUUUUGUAGUAUAUUGUCAAUAUUUUUUCCUUAUGAUUAUGGACCUUAUCUAUAUUGUUUCAGUAUACUGCAAAAUAAAGAUAAAAAUAACAGAAUGCCUGGAACAGAGUAAAAGGGGAAUAUAUGAAUGUUUCUUUUUUGAAAAUGAAGGAUUUGAGUAUCUUAGAGCUCUUUUUCUGAGUGCAAAUUGGUUAUGACUAUUGACUAAAGUCUGAAACUAAAAUGCUGAAUUUGUCUGAUGGCAGUUCAGAUAUCUAUAUGCCAUGGAAUGCUAUUACUACACAGCUAAAACUGAUCUGCACAUAUGUGUUCAUUUGUUAACAUGAUUUUAGGGGGCUGAAAGUAGAAUUGGGCUUGGACUACCCAAUUGAGUGUGGUCUUAAACUCGUACUCCAUUUUGGGCCCUGGUGGACUUUUUUCGGUUAGAUCAUGGAUAUGUAUUGAACAAGGUCCAAUGGAAACAUUUCAAUGGAAACAUUUCAAUAGUAAAAUACUUCUUGGGCAGGAGUUGAGCCUCAACAUUUGAUGUCCAAUGUUAAAACACACCAUGAAGUUCAGAAGUUGUUGACAGCCACAUUCACUCGGCGAUAACCACAUGAUGGAAAUUUUUAUGGUGGAUGUUGUUGCCUCAUCGCAUUGCAAUGCUAAGCAGUGGCUUAGCAUUGGCUACGGUUCAUAGGACCUCAACAUUCUCCUUGCUCCCUUGUCUUCCUUCAUGGAGUGUUGUGCUUUCUUCCUGGGAGAUGUACUUUUGCUUCUACAUGAUUCAAACAUCAAGUCUUGAAAAGCUCGAAUUUUUUUUUUUUGUAAAUGAAAAAAUAUGUAUAGAACCAGCUGAGAACCUUGUUUUAACCAAACACUCAGGCUCCAGGUUCCGGAACCCUGCAGUGUAAACCUAUUUCUGGCUGAUCUACCUUUGAAAUAAUUGUUUUCCAACUAGUAGUUGGUACUCGCCAAUAUGUGAAAUCUCCAGACUUAUUUCAGUUUUUUUUUUCAUUUUGGCAGGAUCUUGGCUUUAGGGAGUACAUUGAAGAGGUUCAAGCGGCCUACGAACACCAUAAGCAUGAUACCCUGGUUUGUACUAUUUUUUUCCCACAGAGAUAUGCAUAGUAUCCAUCAUCUAUGCAGGAUACAUUGACACUAUUUUUUCAUCGAGCAGGAUUCUCCAAAAGCAAGCAAAUUCACUGGUGUGGAGAUGACAGAGGAACAAGCUGUAGCUGAGCAACAGAGGAUGUUUGCUGAGGCCCGAGCAAGGAUGAACAAUGGUGCCGCCAAACCGAAGGAGCCAGAACCUGAAGCGCAGCAACAAACACAACAGCCACCACAGCCUCAGCUGCACCCUCAACCACAGCAACCCCUGCAGCCUCAACUUCAGCUCCAUCCUCAACCACAACAACAGCCCUCACAGCUACAUCCUCAACAGCUGCUGCAUCCUCAAUCGCAGCAAACUCCGCAGCCUCAACCUCAGGUCCACCCUCAACCACAGCAGCCUCCACAGCUGCAACCGCAACCUCAGCUUCUCCAGCAACCGCAGCUGCCCCAACAGCUGCAGCCGCAAUCUCAGCUCCCCCCACAACCGCAGCAGCCCCCACAGCUGCAGCUGCAAUCUCAGCUCCACCCACAACCGCAGCAGCCCCCACAGCUGCAGCCGCAACCUCAGCUCCAUCAGCAACCGCAGCCGCAGGCAGAGCUGCAAUCACAGUCACAACCACAAACAGAACAUGGCUUGGACAGUUCAUGAUUCAGAUUCCAUGUUGUGUAGCCUCAGUAUAAGGAAAAGUUGGUGUACUUCCGCUGGCAUUUACUAGGACUCUGUGUGCCCCUUGAUAGUUUUAGGUUUCCAUGCUUCAUGUACAAUGUAAAUCCAGUGUGAUUUCAGUUACCAUGUUGCUAAUAAUCUGAAGCUCUCUCUAGUCACUGAUGUUAUUACUUUUCCAAACACCCUUUCUCUGACUCUAUGACUGUAGUAGUAUCAUGGCAUGUAUGAUGCCUUGUCAAAAGGGACUCCAUUAGCAGUGUAACUUGACUUUUGCCGAUGGCGAUGGUGAUUUCAGUGACUUGUUAAUUGCAAGGUGCCAUUUGUCUCACUGAAUUGACUGUACACCUUUCUUAUAUUUCGGAGAACCCUAAGCUAUUCUGGCAAUCUUAUUGCUGCAUCUGUUUUUGUGGGCAAUACAUCUGAAGCUGCAUUACACUGUAGUCUAACACCCAAGUUUCAGGAAGACGCUAUGAGAGCAGGUACAAUAGUAGGCUAUAAGCUAACUAUAAACAUAUCUUAAAGAGAUAAAAAGAGAGAGAAUACCAAGUAUUAAUACUAUACUCCCUCCGUUUCAUAAUAUAAGUCAUUCUAGCAUUUCCCACAUUCAUAUAGAUGUUAAUGAAUGUAGACAUAUGUCUAUAUUCAUUAACAUAUAUUCAUUAACAUCUAUAUGAAUGUGGGAAAUGCUAGAAUAACUUAUAUUGUGAAACAGAGGUAGUAGUAAGCAACUAUUGUAUGAAUUAUUAACAUCAAUAUGAAUGUGAAAAAUACUAGAAUAACUUACAUUGUGAAACGGAGGAAGUAAUAAGCAACUAUUGUAUGAAUUGGCUAUUACAUUGACUAUAGAUGAUUUGGAGCUAGUAGUUGGCUAUACCAUUAAACUUGCUCUGAAUGCGCCCUCUUGUGUUUUAACGGUUUAACCAUGUAAAUUGUGAAUUAGCCAAGGCAAUGAAGCAGUCCACUACUUCCAUAAGUUUUGGUUACUGCAAAAUUCAAGUUCAACAUCAUAGCUAAUCACCAUAACCGUGCAUGAAACCAAGGCUUGCAUUACAGAAAAGAUGCCAAAUAGCACAUGAAAACUGAGAAAGCAGGGCCUCCAUAUAUCAGUGAUAUCACAUCGAUUAUUUUAUUAAAUUAAAGAAGAUAACAGUUAAACAGUCCACACACAAAGACAUGAUCACACAUGUCAUACAACACACUGAUACUGGCACAAGCUGACAAAAGCACAGCUACUAAUACAUCAUUAACCACAACCAUCUCCCCACUUGUUGCUACUUCUAAUUACCAUCACAAAUCUAACUAAUCCCGUUGACUUACUCCAACCUUGAAGCUUUUAUUAUAUAUAUAAAAUAUAUAUAAUUGCACACACAUAUAUACACGUAUCAAACUUUUAACGCACCAUGGAAGAGAGCCAAAUGUAGCAUCACCGAGGAGGAAUAAUAAUUUAAUUAACCAGCUUAAUUGAUACUCCCUCCGUUUCAGGUUAUAAAACGUUUUGAUUUUGGUCAAAGUCAAACUGCUUUAAGUUUUACUAAGUUUGUAGAAAAAACUAGUAACAUUUUUAACUCAAGACAAAUUUAUUAUGAAAAUAUAUUCAAUUAUUGUUUUGAUAAAACUAAUUUAGUAUUAUAAAUAUUGCUAUAUUUAUCUGUAAACUUAGUCAAACUUGAAACUGUUUGACUUUGACCAAAGUCAAAACGUAUUAUAACCUGAAACGGAGAGAGUAAUAAGAAGUGAUGUGACGACAUUUCACUUGCAGGUGGCGACGAGGACUCGGCGGGGCGGCAGCGAGGGGCGGCGGCCGUGGAGGGUGGCGAGGUUGUCGAGGAUGAGCACGUCGCCCACCUCCCACCGGAACUGGAUGCUCUCCUCCUCGAUGAUCUCGCCGCACCGCGCCACGAACGCCGUUGGGAUCUCGGCGCCGUCCGCCAUCGUCGCCGAGCUCAGUGCCUUCCCGUGCAUCCCCACCACCGUGUUGAACCACAUCCGCCGACCCUGCCGCCCCGGGAAGACUCGCGUCAGCUUCCUCGGCCCUAGGAUCGUCCUCGCCCCGCCGUUCGCCAGCCACUCCACCUCCAUCCCUAGCGCCCGAGCCCUGAAUACGCACACAUGGCCCAUUAGAGCAAGGAUAAAAGUGCGCUAUAAGUUAACUGUAUGCUUACGUGGAGGACAGAGCCAACAAAGAAAAAAGAAGGUGUUGGCUCUCAUGCAAUAUUUACUCUGCACGUACUCCAAGACAAAUACAUUGAAUGCAUAAGUGAGAGAAUAGUUAGGAGAAGAAAAAUUGAACACAAUCUAACAACUAAUCUAUUAUAUAUAUUGGCAAUAGGAUUACUAAUAAUUGACAGUCAGCUUUACUAUUAAACUUGCUCUUAGACGGUGAUGAAUUAAUAUUCCUAAUUUCCUAUGGAUUGGUCUGGGAAACUAUACUAAUUGUAUCACAUAUAUCUCUUUCAUAAAUAGCAAAGUCAUGUUUCCAAUUAUGCAAAACAAAACAUACACGUGCACAUACCACAUGGCACGUUUCCGAAUGCGCACUCUAACCCAUAAAAAUACGAAGGCUAGAGCCAAAAUCAAUGAUUAAAAUAAAUGUAUUGAAACUGUGUGGAUGUGUGCAUUAUAAAUGGUUGGAAUAAUGAUUAGUUGAACUCUAGUGAACGUCACGUGCCUAUGACUUCAUCACCCCUUUUUUAAUGCAAAAUUAAAUUUAGUCUAAAAAAAGUAAAAAAACAUAUUAAAUUGGAGUAUGAAAAAGUAUACUCGCGUUUGCAUGCGUUUUUUCUUAUGUGUGUAGGUUGAUUUGACCAUAUGUUACAAUAAUUUAACUCGUGUUACCGUUUUAAAUCAUAACUAUUCAAAUCAAAUGCAACAAAUGAGAGCACGUGUCCUAGAGUACGACUUAAAAUCCACUUCGGUAUUACAGAUGCUACUUGCAUUGAUUUUGUUGGUUCUGAUAACAGGUGAAUUUUGCCGGCUUUGGUGAUUAAGUUAUGAGAAAUGGAGCAUUCGUGUUAACAAACAUCUUCACCAGAUGGUGCAUUCAUACUUUAGCAUCCGUCCGUCCUAUGACGUGAACUUUGACAUAUAUUCUAAACUUUUAUAACAUCUACAUGCAAUUUUUUUUAAUUAUUGGCUUUAUUACCAUAUUGAGAUUUGGUGCGAUUUUGACCAUAUAUUAAAUUACAAUUUCAACCAACAGUGUAUAUAUGUGAAUUUAUUUAGUUACAUUGAGAUUAUUGCAACUCUGAAAAAUGCAAUUUCAACCAACAAAACCGUAUAUUGCUCGGUUUAAUUGGUUAUAAUUUAUAAAACUUAAGCUGACAGGGAAAGACACGCAACACUAGAAUUGUAGGUCAAUUACCUCUUCUCGGCCUCGGCCUUGUCGGUGGUGGCGAAGGCGUCCUCCCACCCUCGGCCGCGCAUGGACUUGGUGUCGUUCUUGCUCAGCGCCGUGAACGUGUACCGGAGGCCCUUCUCGUCGAGCUCCUCCACCAUCUCCGGGAACUCCUCCAUCACCCUCUCCGUGACCCUGAAGCUCGGCACGAACGGCGUCUCCCCUCCCUCCGGCGGCGCCACCUCGCAGAACAGUAUCACCUUCCCCGGGAACUCCUUUAUCUGCAAUUAACCCACCACACGGACGAACACCUUCGUGUCAAUGGCGGCGGCGACACGGACGAACACCUUGUCGUCAAUGGCGACGCGACGCGGCGGCGGUGGCCGAGUACUACGUACGUACCAGGACCAUCUCGUGGUGGUAGUAGAUGAACUCGUCGAGGGGGCCCUCGUUGGCGGUCCAGACGCGGCCGUGGACGUGGGUGCGAGGCGCCGGGCCGACGUACCGGAUGUCCGGCCACCCCAGGGCGCCCACCACGGCGUCGAACUCGGCAGCGUCGCGCACGCCGAACCCGCGCAGCAGCACGGCGCUGUUCGACACCACCUUCGCCUCCACCCACUCGCGCCUCGCGCGCAGCGCCGCCGCCAGCGCCUCGCCGCCUCGCUCGCCGGAGCCGGACGACGCCGGCGUCAGCACCAGCGGCACCUGCUCGCCGUCGAUGGUCUUCUGGCCGUCGCACUCCCCCACGCUGAAGAACUCGCCGUCGCCGCCCAUGGCGUCGUACGUCGAUCGUUGCAAGAAACAAGAAAGCAAGUGCAAUGUGGUGUGGUGGUAGUAGUUGCAGUUUGCAGGUGUAUAUGUGUGUGUAUAAAUAUGGAGAGGAAGUGGAUGCAGACACGGAGAGCGCGACAAGGUUCAAAAACGAUGAAAGAAAGGAUAAUACAUUUAUCUCCACAAAGAUUCGUGAUGGAGAGAACAAGUAAAGCGAAGGAAACUAUGCACUAGUAAGUUUCAACCUCAUCUACAACUCUAAAAAAACAAAUAAAAUCAUGGUCUCUGCUCAGGUUGGUAGAUUCUAAGUAUUAGGCUUAACGUGUGUGCUCAUAUAUUUUUUAAAAAAAACCUUAAUAAAUAAUAUAUCUCCCUGCUAUGUGUGGCUCGCGGCUAUAUCAGUAUCGGUAAAAAAAAACAAUAUAGUGCAAGAAAAAAAGUGUUUUAAGCACUUGUAAAAACCUUGAAACUAAUUAAAUUAAUGAUUAUAUACAACAUAUAACUCUUAAAGUCGUUCACUUCAUCCUCUGAACUUGACUAAAACCAUGUUAUUUUGAAGAUAAUUAAAAUAGAACGGGUUUGCAGCCACAACAGGGGAAAAAGAACUAAAACAAACUACUACUCGCUCCAUUCCAAAAUAUAUAAGUAAUUUUAAUGUCAAAAUAUAAUCAUUUCUAACACCACGUGUCUUACAAGCACAUAUCAUUCAAUUUUUUUCACAUAUUACCCUUAACCUCUCUCAUGCCCUAACCAUAACUCAUUUAAUGAGGGAAUUAUAUUCUUUUCUAUUCAACCUUAACUUUUUGUUUAAAUAAUUAGAAAUGUUUAUAUUUUAAUACGGAUGUAGUAUAAGAGUGAAAAGUAAAUUACUUGGAGAAUAUGUUGAGCUUUUUUCGUUCUUGGCAGAUUUACAGACUGCCAAAGUAGUCGAAGAUUUUGUUUUAAAAGAUGAAAAAUGAAGACCAAGAUUAAUUGUUGCUCAUCGACCAAUAUCAAGCUACUAGGUGCCUCCUACAGAUGCAACAAUGAAGCUGAUUUACCCAAUGGCGCUGGUUCCGGUUUUAGUUUGAGAGGGCCCAUGGUAAUUAGGAGGUAAAACCGCCAUGGUCUUAGUUUCCACCGCUAAGAUGAUCUUAUUAUGCGUGUCCUUGCAAUACUGGUUCUAACUAAACUUUGUCAUAUUUGACCGGCGAAAAUAACUCUAUUGUCUUGUGUGCAGCUAACUCCUGCGAUAUGUACACCAUAUUGGUCAUGGUCUUCAAAAUAUAAGAAAAAAAAGAAAAGAAUUACCACGCUCUCGUCAGUGCUUGCAUAUUAAUUCCCAAUACAAUGCCCAUAAAAAAAACCUAAUGAAAUGUACUCCGUUCGGGUUUUAAUAUAUGACACCUAUAAUUUUUUAAUAUAUUUUCUAUCCGUUUUAUUUAAUUAUUAUUAUUAUUUUGCUGUGACUUGAUUUAUCAUUAAAGAUUGUAUAAAAAUAUUUUAUAUUCUUUUAUGUUUGCACGAAAUUUUGGUAUCGUAUAGGGUAUGACAGUUGGAGACUCCAAAUUCUGGAGCAGAUAUCCCUAUGGAAAGGAGAGAAUAUUACUUAAUUUGAAACCGCACUGACUAGCACUGGUGAUUAUAUAUAGGAGUAUAAUUGAGAACAAGGCAACCUGACAGAUGGAUGGAAGCUAGUGCACUUGAGAAUUUUGAGGUUGAUGACCGUGCUUAAUGAGGUGGUUGGACGGCUUGACUAGCUAGUUAGUUUUGUUGUUUUAGAUUAUGCACGCCCAAUGAUUUCAGUACAAGAUGUUGAGAGCUAUUGUUCAAAGGAUUGUUCUUCAUAGUUAAUUUACCCAAAUUACAACAUUAAUUUAACAGGAGUUAGGUAUACGUGUGUGUAAAAUAAAUAAAGGGGGACUUUAAAUUCUCUGUUUUGCUUUGGGUUUAUGGGGUGAAAAAAGAAACAGGUAUAAAGUUUUUACAAGCGUAUAAAUUUCAAUGUUACCAAAUAAACCCUCGUGUUUCUGUCAUUUUAACAGCAUAGUUUUGUUAGUCGCUUCUAUUUCCCUUUUACCAUUGCAUAAUGUUCAACAAGUUUUUUUUUAUUUUAUCGGGUCAAAAAAACAUGUAGUUUGGGCAUUUAUAUGCUUGUUAAUUAAUGUUAAUGUUUCAAUCCAAUAUAAAAAUGCGUACGCCGAGCCUAGCCAAUCCAAUAUAAAAAAGACGUGUCUCUUCUAUUCCUUCUAUUUCAAAAUAAACAAAUCUAAUAUGAGAUAUGACAUAUCCUAAUACCAACAUCCUGUACUAGAUUUAUUUAUUUUGAGUUAGAGGAAUUACAUUAUAUUUCUUGCCAGUCCUUGACAUAACAACUAUCACAUUCAUAGCCCUUUUUAGGCUGUAACCCCUCCUCCCUGGCACGCAAAACGAGGUUCAUUUCAUUGCAUGAUUAAUUAAGUAUUAACAAAUUUUUUUUGAAAAAUUGAUUAAUAUGAUUUUUUUAAACAACUUUCAUAUAGAAAGUAUUUCAUAAAUCACACCGUUUAGCAGUUUGAAAAGCGUGCACGAGAAAAACGAGAGAAAUGGGUUAAAAAAAUGGGGGGAAGAACACACUACUAUGUUCCAUAAAAAGGCAAACUCUAGGGGUGUGUUUGGAAUGAGAAAUGUGGGGUGGGAUUGGAAUUAGGAAAUAAAUGAAGGGUUAAGAUUAAAUGGAAGAGAGAAUGAAUAAUUAAGAUUUAAAGAUAUCUUUUGGUGGGUGGGAAAUCAUUUUCCUAUCCCAUUAGUCAAACACUGCCUAGCUACGAACAUGUACAAGUAUUUAUCCAGAUUCAUAUGUAGAGUGAACUCUUUUUUUUUUUUUUUUUGAUGGAGGCGUAGGUGUUCAGGCGCUUGCGUAAAAUUAGUACUCCACAACAACUAAGCAGAAAGCGUACACAUGAAAGACGCUUCUCCCUUAGGAAUACGUAUUCACUAGUUCACACUUGGUCAGCUCGAAAGGAAGAAAAAAAAAUUGUUGGCGUCUUUGCUUCUCCUCGUCUCCCUCCUCCUCCUUCCCCUCCGGCGCUCGAUCUCGCUGAGUCGCCGCACACCAUUUUGGCGAUGGCGGCGGCGCCGGCGGCGAGGUUCCCGGUGUUCGGGAUCGUGCGGCUGCUGGGCCUGGCGGCCGCGGCGGCCAUCGUCGUCUGGGCCGUCCACUUCCGCGGCGGGAUGGCGCUCUCCUCCGAGACGGACAAGCUCCUCAUCUUCAACGUAAUAAUAAUGGAGUAUUCUCGAGAGAUCCCUGCCUCUGUAUAUAUAUCUCUAGCCCCCCUGGCCCGCGGAUCGCGCGCUGAUCUUGGUGGUGUCUCUGUCUGUGUGCGGGAAUAAUCUGAUCUGUUGUUUUCCCAAGGUUUCGAUCGAGUUCUUGUGUAUUGACCCAGCGAAGAUGCAAUGCGAGGGCUUUCUUUUGUUGCGUAUUUCGGAGGUUUAGGAGAGUUUUUUUUUUUGGCUGCUGCGUGUAGUGAAUUUGGAUUGGAGGAAGGGUUUAGCUUUUUUGCAAGAAGUUAAUUACAAGGGGAGAAUUUUGAAUUCUGGGAAGCUGACAAUCGAGCCUGAUGCAUUUCGAAGGAGUUUAGCGCUCUCUUCUAGGGAUAUUUUAGACCUGAGAUGAUUUGGGUUCGUGUGAUGACUUCAUGGGUGUGAUAUCUUAGGCGUCUUUUGUUUUAGUGAGUGCUAAGCUUUGUUUGUUUCGUUUUUCUCACUCCAUUUGCUCAAGUUUGUAAUUUUGGGCUACAUUAAUAGGAUUACCAAACUGCACCACAUCCCUUGUUCGAGAUCGUUGUACAUUGCCAUUGGACUAUGUUCCUGAAGUUUGUCGUUAAUGGCUCAAAGUUAUUCUAAAUUUUUAAUGAAAAGGGAAAGAAAACCCUUUUCAGAAUGAAAAUGAGAGAAGAUUUGAAGGCUUGGUUGGAUAGUAAGUUUGUAACAAGCCUGGAAAUCUUUUGAAGUUUUGGCUUCUUAAUUGUUGACAUUUAAGUGAUGAACAAAAAAAAAGCAUCGACUACCGAGGAUAAUUAAUUAUUUCAGAGUACUUGAGUCCUGCAGUUAGAUCAUUUUAGUUCAGGGAGGAAAAUGCAUAUGCACUUGGAUAGCCACCUAAAUCAUUUAAUAGGCAGCACCACAAGAAGCAACUUUCAGCAUUAUAGCACAUGAGAAAGACAACAAGAAGCAAUUCAUGCUUUGUUCUGAGAAUUGUUUUUGAGUUAUCUUUUUCUGGUUUUACACCAGUAAGCCUGUCUUUCACAAAUAGAAUCACCAUUUGUGGUGCUGUCUAGGAAGACUUUGAGGGAGCUUUUACUCCAUACAUACUGUAACUCUACUUGUAUUCCUACGUGGGCAUGAUUACUAGGGAAGGGAAUUUAUAUCACUGAACAUAAUGGUUUUACCGAUUGUAGAAUAAUAACACAUGUGGAAUUACUAGGGAAGGGAAUUUAUAUUAAUUUAUGUGGAUACCUACGAAAAGAAGGUGAAAGUAGCUAGUACAUGGCACUCUCUUUGGUUAGCAUUUACACACGUGUGCGUGCACUGCGGUUCACGCACAAAAGAGCAGAGUGGCCCUAGAAAAUAAACAGUAAAGUUUUCUGCCAGCUAGUGAACAUGAUUUUGUCCUAUCUUGGGCAAUUGAAAGUUUUUGUGUAAUAUUCUGUUCCAUAUUUUGCUAAAUAAGGCUGGGAAAUGAAUUAAGCAGCCAACUAUGUAAUAUUUUUACUUAUACAUUUAAUCAACAUAUAUUAUACAUUUAAUCAACAUAUAAUCUAAAAUAAUAAUUUCCAUGUCCUCAAGUGGUUUGAAUUUUGAAACUUCGAAUGUGCUUUAUUUCAUGUAAACAACUGAUUUGUAGGUUUUGCCGGCUAAAAAAUGUGGGUUUGAGUUGCGUUCGCUAGAUAGUAAUGUUAAUUGAUGAAUUGAUUACAUAAAUCCCAUCUUGUUAUGAUAUUAAAACUGCCUUCUGUUAUUUCAGGUUCACCCAGUAUUGAUGCUGAUUGGAUUGGUAGUCCUGAAUGGGGAAGGUAGUGUGUUAACCACUAUUGAACUCCAAUCGAAUUGGAUCUUGGAAUGGCCUUCAUGUUGGCUUGUUGCAUAUAAAUAUUUUUAUUGCUUCAUUAAACAGGAUACAGAGUUUACUGUUUUUUCGAUUUAUGCAUACAUCUAACUGUAGCAUUUUUCAGAUAUGCAAAAUAUCAUGCCUCUGUAUUUUCAUGCAGUACAGCAUGAACAAAAAAUAAUGACAUUGAGACAUCCUAGGUAGAUUAUAUACAGUUUCCUUGAUACUCGAUACAUGUCAAAAUCAAGUACCAAGGAACCAGGAAGGGGCUGUUCACUUUGACGCCAUUUUCAACCAUAUCAUUUUUUGGCAAAGUUACCAAAAAAGUGGCUACAUUUAGUUUGUUGUCAAAUUUAGUAAAUACAUAAGAAAUCCUGCCAAAAUUUGGUAAUAUUGUCAAUAUUGCCAAAAUUUUGACAUUGCCAAAAUUUGGUAAGGUUUAUUUUGGCAUCAAAGUGAACAACCCCGAAGUAAGAUAUUUACACCUAAUGAUACUUGGUCCUGGCUGAAUAGUAUUUGAUUUACCCAAAUCAACACCUAGUUCCAUAUUUUUCUUCAAAAGCUUAGUUGGAGAUAUAAAACCAAAAAAGAGUUGCUGAAUUUACUUUUUCUGUCACUUUCUAGCUAUUUCCUAUUGAAUUGGUUACCAAAUUACUCUUUUCCGAUUGAAACAUUCAAAUUGGUAGUUCUUGUCUGUAGCUAGAAAAUUUAUCGACUUAGCAGAAACCACUCCAGGCCCUUGUUCUGAGGACUAAUGUGAUUAUAAUUUAUUUGCAUUAUAUUACAUAUGCACCCAAAUCAAUACCCUUCUAUGUAGGUCGUACAAAAAAAAGUUCAUUCAUCAAACUCUGGGAAAAAAGGGAAUUCAUCUUAACUAGUUUGAAUUAGCUUCAUGAUAUAUGGUCACUUAUAAACUAAACUCAAUUAGUGCAAACUAACAGAAAUCAGUUUGAACUGAGUUAUGUAUAUGAAGGGAAAAACUCUGAAUUUUGAUAUUGAUCAUACAUGCGUAUCAAACAGUCUAGAAAUGAGUGUCUAUGCAUCAAGGUGCCUCAUGUAAUUUACUGGACAUAAAAGGCAUAGUUUUUAUAGUGUGUUAUAAUAAAUGGCAAUAAGGUUUUAAUGGAUCGCUUAUGGUUCUGCAUGCAGCAAUUUUGGCCUACAAGACAGUGCCAGGAACCAAGAAACUGAAGAAGCUAGUACACCUUGCCUUGCAGUUCCUCGCCAUGCUCCUGAGUCUGAUUGGGCUCUGGACUGUAUGGAAGUUCCACGAUGAGAGACAGAUCGACCACUUAUAUACGCUUCACUCCUGGUUGGGCCUUUCUUGCAUCAUCUUCUUCAGCUUGCAGGUAGAUAUUGAACUAUGCUCUUUUCAGUAAACAUAAAAAUAUGUAAAGAGGUUUGCUUCCAACAUAUUCUCAUCUUUAUCGUUGAUAUCUCUACAGUGGGCUACUGGAUUUUAUACAUUUUGGUACCCUGGUGGAUCUAGGAGUGGAAGAGCCUCCCUGCUCCCCUGGCAUGUCUUCUUCGGCCUCUUCCUUUACGUUCUCGCCAUCGCCACAAGCGUUUCGGGACUUCUGGAGAAGUCGAUCUUCAUGCAGAGCGCAAAAAUGAUCGGGCGUUUCUCGACAGAAGCUAUGUUUAUGAACUCGUUGGGGAUGUUGCUGGUGCUAUUGGGGGCUCUUGUCAUACUUGCAGUUGUUACUCCUGGAGUUGGCAAGAUCGAUACAUACCGAGGCUCAUCAGAGUGAGAGGGAGGCGGCGCGCUGUAGUUCUUGAGAUGCAGUUAGUUCUGAACGACAUUUCUGGCUCCAACUGAGGAAUUUAUCUGUACAUCCCAUUUUCACUGGAAUUAUUGUUACCUGUUUAGAUCUGAUGAAGAGAGUUAUUUGUCGGUACACUUUUUAAGUUGUAGUGGUAGAUUGAUGAUCAAAUUGACAUAAAUUACGGCGAAAUCCAUUCUGGAGGACGUGGGCCCCGAGAUGUUUGGGUGUUCUUAAUGUAUGAAGGAAUACGGAAAAAGGAAAGCAGUUUUGUAUGCUUAACAAUAACAAUUAAUCAUCCCAUAAAAUCGCUAUUCUUGUUAUACUUUGGAAAGUGUGAGUACGUGCAAAUGGUCUUGUGUGCAUGAUUUGUGAUGCCAAUGCAACCUAGAUCCGGUUUCCUGUACGAAUUGCAAUGCUAACCCUGGUGAUCAAUAUUGUUCAUACCAGAUGAUACGACACUUGAUAAGAUAAUAAUAUCCUCGUGUGGUUGCCCAAACACUUGGCCUCGUUCGUUUAAUCCCCAGACCAAGGGGAUUGAGGGAAUUGGAGGAUAAAAUUCCACACCUAUGUUCUCCCCCAAUCUCCUUCAAUCCAUUUUGGGAUUAAAAGAACAAGCCCUAAGCAUGUUAGUAACCACAUCGUUAACCUCAAAUAACUUCACAAACAUAGUAUGCAGCACAAGGGAGAAUUAGACAAGCAAUUAGGAUAAAUGCAUCUGGAUUCUCAGUGCAUAGAAGAACAAAAUCAUUUGCUGAUCAUCCCGACUCGGAACAGAUUUUCUUUGAACUAAACACACAUGAACAGAGUGGAUAACAACCAUAAAACUACCAGCCUAGCACGGACGGACGGGGGUAGUUCAUACUUCAUGGCGUUGCUACUGUUUUGUUCGGCCACUACUACUACUACCACAUGACUGAUAUUGUUGGUCUAAUUACAGAAGAAAAGGAAACAGACUCCAAUCUAAUGCCAUUUGAACACCGCCCAUUGUACUGAUGAUCACUAGCUGCUUAGCAUAUCACCUACACAGCACCAUGUUGUCACCAAAGCCUGUCAACCUCCAGCACAGAAAGAUGGAAUCCAAACUCCUGCAAGCCCAGAAAAGAUCACCCGUUAGCUCAAUCUAACAUUUUUGAAUAGUAUAUAUUUCCAAAGAGAGCAUAACAGGAUCACUGAUAGAACCAUAAUCGCUGUAUCGGACCAUAUCCACGCUAGAGGGGAGUACAUAAUUAUUACCAGAACCAGCAUGCAUAACAUUAACCAGCACAUUACAAAUAUCUCAAAUCAGCAUUAUAUGUUCCAAGCAACAUAAUCAGAACUUGAACAUAUCUCAGCUUUUUUUGGUCAGGAUGAAACCGUUUCAUAUAUGUUUCAAGCAGGUGGAGCUAGCUCCUUGGACUUUGGACCAUCUCCAUCUUACAAGAAAAUAUUACCCUAAGGCUAAGAGUGAAUGGACACCCAUGCGGAUAAAGAGAUUAAGCAAAUAUUGAAUGCUGUUUGUUUUGAUUUUCAAGGGCUCAAUCAGGCUUUGAAGAGUUACAUGGUGACUGCUAGUCGUGUGCUUUGUUUAUUUCUGGGCAAGGCUAUGACCCAAAUACUAAAAAUCAAAAUGGAUUCAACUAGCAGUAAUAAACAAGGCAACAAAAUGGUUUUAACUGGAAAAACUUUGAAGCACUCUUGAGUCUUAAUCAAUCCAAACAGGCCUAUUUCAUGAAAAGCAUAUGGUAUCCCAGAAUCCCUUGGAUCAUAUAGUUACAACAAAAGAAAUAUAAAACUAAUUCUCUUUUCAGAUUAUGCUGGAAUGGAUCCCCAUACUUAUUCAAACAUGGAGCAAGAUCAAGAACUAAACACAAACCAAAUAAAGCAGGUCAAAUUACAUAAAUUAUAUGUGCAGCUCAUAUCACAGGAAAGCACACGGCACCCUGGCUAUUGAUGAAUUAACGCUCACUCUAUUCAGGCUAGAAACUGCAUGGCAAAAAGAAAAAUAAUAUUUAUUUCCAUUAGCAGGUGUUCAUGUAAUUUUAGCUCUUUUACUUCAUGUUGGAACUAAUUCUCUAUCUGGUAGUAUAUUUUAGACAUGCUCUCCUUUUUGGCACCAAAUCAUGGUCUAGAUACUGAAAAUUUUAAAAAAAGAUCACCUCAGGCUGUGAAGGGCAAGAUGCUACUGUGCAACUCUUUCUUCCUUGACCUCUGGUCCUCUGACUUUGUUAUCCUUGUGCUUCUUUGAUACAUGGACAGCUUGCUCAGAUGGGUUGGAAGCUGGCUCAGCUGCUGGUCUGACUUUGGGUUCCUCAGCAGCGACUAGAGGGGCAAAUAGAGCUUGUGGCACAGAAAGCAUGUCGAUUUCUCCAUCUAGCAGCGGUUUAACAACAGUUAGCACUUGAAAUAUAAAAAAAUGUUGGUGCAUUGAUUUACUGGAAAAAACAGCAUGCUGGUUACACCAAAUUAAACAUACCAUAUAGUUUGAAUAUGGAAGGGGGUGUGAAUUUUAUAGGAGCAAAAGGAAGUUUCUUGUUUGUUGGAUUACUGUCGAUUCCUUUGUUGUACCCAGAAGGUGAGAUUGCCCUGAUGAGCUUUUCCUUCGAUCUAACAAUUUUCGCCAUGGAAGUGUAAUUUGUAGCUGGAAGACCAACCGAACUAUUAGUUGUUAACUUAUACUCUUGCAAGUUUGGUCACACAAUAAAAGCAGUUCAAGAAAGAUGGUGGUGAUCCUUUUUUUCAGUCAUGAAGAAUGGAACUCAUGUUACCUAAAAGUGACUUGACCGCAGCACGAGCUGCCUUCUGCUCUGCGUCCUUCUUGUUUCUUGCAGCUCCACCAGUAUAAGUAUGCCCAGCAAAUGACACAGAUGAAACAUAUGGAGUCACGGACCCUUCUGUCUUGGUUACAGAGUAUUCUGGUUGAUCAGUUUUUGUCUUAGUAGUAUAUUCAUGAAGAAUUGAUUUGCUGAACACAACAUCCUGAAUGGAAGAAAAAGGAAUGUGUGUUAGAUAGAGGUCUUCAUACUUAUGAAUGUUGAACGUAAAUUUCAAAAGGUGAGAGAACAAGACCAAAAUGUUAGAUUGUACUAAUAAGGUACAUAGUUAGUCUCUGAUUCACUGGCUUCUAAAAUGUAAAUAGUACAAAAAAAGGAGUUGCCAGAGGUAUGCAGCCAGGGUCCUUGAAUUUAAAAGGUGAACAUUAGGUUCCCUCUACAUGUGAGUCAAGUCAAAACAAGAUCUAAAAAUCUAUUUUAUCGGCAAUUAGAGAUGGCAUAAUACUGUCUCAAUCUAAAUAACAAUUAGCCACGUGAUUGUCAUUAUAAACCACAGGACAAUGGAUAAUUGUGGAAUUUAAGAAAAUUCACAUAUUAUUGAACAGAUUUUGUAGGCCUUUAUUGAUCAUUUAGGAACUUCAUGUCCAACGUUUAGCUUAAAAAGGAUCAAAGUGUCACAUAAUCAUUAACCAAUAACUAAGCAUGCAUGCCUUUGACCUCUAUUGAUAAAUGUAUACACACGUAAAUGUUCAGUUCUGAAGUUCAGAGAGCACAGUACAUACAAGACAGUUUACUUCAAAAUAAAUUAUGAUUUCGUUAACAACAUAAAAUGCAAUGUAACCAGACUUCAAGAAAAGAAGCAGUAAUGCUGAAUCACAUAUAAGCAUAGCCAAAUCGUGCUUGUAUUUUUUACUAACACAAUGAAGACCAAAAAAAAAGCGAGAUAUGUUAACAUGAUGUUGCAUAAUUCAGAGCAAAUAUAUAAACAUUACUGCUGAUUAUGUGAAAGAUGGUAAAGAACCAAGACAAUGAAUAGUUCAAAUAAGGUACCUGAUCAAUGAGCUCAAACACAUCUGUAUCAUCAGUCUCAGUCUCUUUCCUUUCAAGCAAGGUAUCAUAGGCUACUUUAGCAGCAUCCUGCUCAGCGUCCUUCACACGUCUAUGACAAAAAGUGGAUGAAAACUCCUCACCAUCCACCAUGACAGUGGAUUUGAACUUAAGCUGAUGGUGUUCACCCUUGCACUUGGUACAGUAGAUUGGCAACUGCUUAUUUGCCUGCUGAAGAUACUCUUGCAAUUUGCUUUUGUAAUUGCAGUGCGCUGCAUAAGUAAAACGGAACAAUCACUAGUUUUUUCACCAGCAAAAUGCUAAAAUGGAUAGCGAUGCAUGUUAUAAUAUGGUCCUAACAUAGGAGAGUCUAAUAUUCAGGUACUGAUCUGUUGCGAUAAUCACAAAAACCAGCUGCUAUAACGCCACAUUCAACACAAAAAGGGCAAGGUAAGCAAUCACACAGUAAUCAGAAUAUCAGAAGUUAUACAUGUAUUCACUGCAAUCUUUGCAAACCAAAAGGGAACAAUUCUAACAAAUAAUUGCAACCUGAGAACAAGGAAUUUGCUGCAUGAACAGCAAACUGCAUGGAAGAAUAACCCGGAAACUCAACGAAAAAUCAGACGCCCUUGGCCACGAAAAAUCAACCCAAUCCAUCCACAAAAAUGCACCUAGGAUGCACCGCCAUUCCACGGACCAUGAAGCAACAUCGCACACAACAAUCAUUAGUUUAUUACUUUAUUUCAUCCUUGUCUCACAAGACCCUGGACUCCACAACUAUUCACCAACAAAAUGCUAAAAUACAUAGUGAGCAUGUAUUAUCCUAUAGUCCUAACAUGGGAGCGUUUGCAAUAUUCAGGUAGUGAUCUGAUGCGAUAAUCACGAAAACCAGCUGCUAUAACAUCCAAAUCCAACACAAAAUGUGAGAGAUGAGCAAUCACACAGUAAUCAGAAUAUCAGAACAUAUUCCCUAUAAAACAAGUCAGUUGCAAAUCCUGCAAACCAAAAAGGAACAAUCCUGACAAAUAACUGCAACCUGAGAACAAGGAAUUUGCUGCACGAAUAGCAAAUCCUAAGGAAGAACGGCACAAAAAUUUGCCGCUCCCUAGAUACUAAUAUACGAAAUCAACAAAAAACCAGACACCCUUGACCGCGAAAAAAUCUACCCAAUUCACCCACACAAACGCACCUAGGCCGCGCCGCCAUUAGCACUGACCAUGAUACACCGACACACACAACGCCACGCUCCCCAAAAAACAAAAACAAAAACAAAAUCUACGAGCACGUAAUCUACCACCGCAACGGUCAUCUUCAGAUCGGGACAUCACCUCACACAAAUCCAUAACUAGAUUCCCUAUCUAAACCAACAGAUUACGCGAUAAAAACGGAGAACGAAAUCCAAGGCCCAACCACGCCGCAAACAAUCUACCAACACAGAUUAAUCCUCCGAUCGAGUCAUCACCUCCACACGAACCCCUAAAUUCCCUAACCCAAUCCAACACAGAUUACACAACGCCACGCUCGAAAAAAAAAACAGAGAACAAAAUCGACGAGCGCGUAAUCCAACAACCCCACCGAUCAUCUCCCGAUCGGGACAACACCACCUCACACGAACCCCCAAAUCCCCUAUCCAACCCAACAGAUUCAACCGAGAAAACGAAAAAUACGGAAAAAACAAACAACCGAGAGCGAUCAGGAGGAGGAGAGGGGGGGGGGGGGGCGAGAGAGGGGGGAAGGGAUGAGGAAUGGGGGGAGAAGAGGACGCACGGGGAGGGGGAGGCAGCGGGGCCGGCGAGUGGUCCGUGCCGGCGGUGGCGGUGUGGGCGACGGCGACGGCGACGGCGAGGGGUUCGGCGGUGGCGGCCGCCAUGCUUGGCCUCUCUCUCUCUGUCUGCGGUGAGGCGGAGACGCGGGGUGGAUUUGAGUCGGAGGCGAGGAGGAAGGAAAUGCGUUGGGACGGUGGGGUUUACAGAGUUGGGUCUCGUGCUCCUCCCCUUAAAUAGACCGAUGGGAAACUUCGAGAAAUGCGGGGAUUUCUGUUGCGCCGUAAAUAUCUAUCUGUUCAUUGGCACACGCCGCGCCCAAUCCCAAACACGAACACAGAACAGUGUGCUCUGCUACGUGUUAUGCACUUAUGUGUGGUGGUUAGGUGAAACCCCCUCUCCCCCAGCUGUUUGAUCUGGGUAUUUUCCUCUUACAAGCAAGUACGAUAACAGGCUAUACAUAAGCUAUAACCAUAUAUCGAGAAGAAAAAAAAGUGAUUAAAAAAACGAGCUACAUAUUUAUAGGCAGCUGCAACACAAACUUUACGUUAUGUGUGUAUGAGAGGUGGGAUCGGGUAUUAAUGGUGUAUUAUAUUUUUAUAUGUAACUAUUGUAUGAAUAGGUUAUUAGAUUAACUAUAGAUGAUUUAUAGCGAGUACUUGGCUAUACUAUUAAACUUGCUCUAACUCUCUCGGCGGCUGCGAUCGUGAUGACUGGGUAGUGAUGGUACGAUGGUGAGGUGGCCGAAUUUAGUCACUUGAUGAUAGGGUGGAGGUGAGAUGGGGGAUUUGGCAGCGGUGGCCGCCAUGCUUAGCCUCUCUCUCCGGUGAGGCGGAGACGAGACAAGGCGAGGCAAGGAGGAGGAAAUGCGUGGGGCGGUGAGAGAUGGGUGGGGUUAAGAGGGUUGGGACUCGUGCUCCUUCCCUUAUAAAAGCAAAUCGAAACUUCGAGAAGUGGGGUUGUUCUAAAAAAAAUCGUGAAGUGGGACUUUUCCGUUUUCCCAUGUUAGGUCAUUGGCACACGCCACGCCACCCCUACCCCUACGAAGUAGUAAUUUCGUUAGUGUGGUGGAAGGUGAAACACAAAACACAAAAGAGUGUGUUGCUAUGUGUGAUGGUGAGGUGAGUCCUCGAGAUGCUUGAUGUAGGUAAUUUUUUCUUUCACCUCCUGCAUGCUGCUAUGUGUGGUUAUAAGUAUGUUUCCAUUCAUCAAAUAGGCAAUUGCUUCCCCGCCAAAAAAAAAUGCCUAUUGCUUGGUAAGAAACAAUUCCCAUGCGCAUCGUUUAUGGGUGUCAUGUACUUACGGCAGUGCCAACUACCACUAUAUUUAACUUACAAUGCAAGCAUUUAUAUUUAACUGAAUGUCAUCAUAGAAAUUAAGCGAGGAAAUAAAUCCUAGGAUGGAUAGAAAUUCGAAAAGGGAGAUUGAUAGAAUUACCUCAAAAGAAAGGGUGGAGAUGGUGGUCGUUGUUGAGUGGCCAACUAACCCCCGGUUGUAGAUCGUCACAUCAUUGGUGGCCAAGACACACAUCAGCAGUGGCAUGACGAAGACCGUAUUCCAAGAUGAGGAAGGCUCAACCGUGAUAGGGAGAGUGUCGGGCAUGAGUCCAUGAUUGUGGAAAAGGGAACUGGAAGAGAUCUAGCAAAGCGAGGGUUUGCUCACCAUUCACCAAAUGGGGCUAGGGUGUGACCUAUGUGCGGCGGUGAGGAACGGGGAUUGGGAUCUGGGAAGGAAGAACCAUAGCAUUGUGUCGACGGGGGAUACCCGUGGACCGGAUACAUAAGGUAUUGGGUUACGCUGGUACGAGGAUCUACGUAGUACGACAUCAAGCAAAUAGGAAACAUGGAUUAUAUUGGUUCAGGCCCCUUGAUAGGUAAUAGCCCUAAUCCAGUUGAUACGGGAUUAUAUGAUGGAAACCACAUAUUACAAAGGGAAUAAUGGAACUCGAUGAUACCGACGAGACCGUAGUCGAGUUGGUCCGACUAGAUCACCCGGCGACUUGGCUCCUACAGGCUUCGACUUCGUAGGCUGUGACGGUUGUGUUGGCGAUGAUAUUCGAUGCCUUAGGCCCUUCCGGGGGGUCCCUUUUAUACCACGGGUCAGUUGAUCUCCAAGUAGAACUCGGAGAAAUCGGACCCCACGCGAUACAGUAACGACCCAGUUCUAUCCGAGUAGGACUCCUUCCAUCCGUAGACUCUGUUUCUGUUACGUGAUGGAUUUCCUUAACAUGUACCGGAAACAUCCGUACACGCGCAGGUAUACCGUAUCAGUAUAUAGCAUACAUCCAAGGGUAGAGGGUAUACCUUAUCCGUAACCCUGACAGUAGCCCCCGACAUCUACUUAAAUGAACUCAUGUGACCGAUCGCGACUUCUGAUGUUGGAAUCGUUGUCGCUCUCAACUGGUCGAUCUCGGUAUGAGAACCAUAGAGACGUAGAGUUAUCGAUAACAUUGCAUGAAGUUCAACGGUCAUGAGUGAAUUUAAAUUGAAGUACGAAAACUGCUGCGCGUAACGGACCUAGAAAUUUCCGGCGGCCAUCUCUCUCCUUUCCUUGGAAUUCGCACCAUCAGUAGUGCGCUUAUUUAAGGGAGUUUUGGGGAUCCAUUUUGAAGUCCGUUUGCUGCAAAACUUUCCAGCCUUCAAACAUCCCUCUUCUUCUCCGCUUCUGUAGAAAAACCCUAGCUUUCCCAUCUUGUCCUGUUCUCCGGCGAUCUUCCGGCAGUGAUGGACCUCGACAAAUCCACCUCCACCAAUGCGUCCCUGAAGAAGCUGCAGGACGACGGUGCCCUCCCUGGUCGCGGGACCAUGCAGAGGGAAACAGGAGGUACUGACCCUGAACCUGUCCUGGGCCGCAUGGUUGCGGUUGAGGAUUACAUUCUUUGCGGUUUUCUUCCUCCGCCUUCCGAGUUUCUUCUUCUCGUCUUGAAUUUCUACAGCCUUUCCUUGCUUCAUCUGAACCCCAAUUCUAUCGCAUUUCUUAGCAUUUUCUCCUAUCUUUGUGAGGCCUACAUUGGGGUAGAGCCAUUUCUUGAUCUCUUCCGCUUCUACUAUGAGUUGCGCUGGAUGGAACCUAAAAAGGUAUCCGGAUGUGUCGGUUUCUGACUUCGGGAUGGCCUGAAGUCACGAUACAUCCCCUUCCAGUGCCCCUCUUCAAAUAGAAAAUUCAGAUCCAGUCUUUGUUGUCCCUGAGGAACAACCAGACAAGAUUACGGAAUGGACCGCCAAACCCGCCCUAACUCCCUCCCUUCGGUCUUUCAUCAAUAUCAUCGAUGACCUCCGAGUACGAGGGUUAUCGGGGUAUGAAGUUGCUGCCGACUCCAUCGGUAGGCAGAUCCAGCCGCUCCAGGCUCGAGCCCACCCAGCCUUUGACUAUUCUGGGCCGGAGGACGCGACCCGGGUUUCUCCUCGGGGUAUUUUUCUUGCAGAGAAAGUCUUUCAGUCUAUGGACUGGCGUUGGCCGUCCUGGUAGUCUUUAUGUCCUGUAAAAAUUAUCUCAAGGAGACGUGUAAUAUUUUUGGAGCAAUUAUGAAUUGUAAGAAGCACUUGUUAAAUAGAAAAGGAAUCUAUCUAACUAAGUUUUCUUACUCUGGAUAUGUUGUGUGUGAGUGUUUUCUCAUUUCGUGACUUCGAUCAGUCGCCUGAGUCAUACACUCUCCCUAGCCCCCAGCCUUGUUGUCGGAGAAACAUUCUCGGAGGAUAAGGCUCCUGGACCCUUGACCUGCCUCGGUUGAAAAAGCACUGACCCUAGCCCCCAGCCGUGAAGUUGGAAAACUCAGUUUCCGAUUACACGGCUUGGUUAAUACGCACGGCGAGAACUCUUACAUGACCAGAUCUUACAUGGUCGUUUGUCUCUACAUGAUCCGACAAGGCCUUAUCCGCUCUGGGCGUCCCCAGCCGAAGUUCUCUUAGGUUCCUCAGAGGCCUUGUCAAGACGGCGUAAAGGGACAUGAGGAUAGGUUUCAACGCUAGGUGUCGUCGUGGUAAGGGAUCAUCGGGAAGGAACACUUUGAUUGUGAUCUUUACCUGAAAAUAAACUUUAUUGAAGCUAUAAGAUGUCUUACAAGUAUGGAUACUAUUAAUUUAUUCAUAGAAUUUACGUAAUUGAUCAAUGUUCGAAGAAUUUGCUAACUCGCGACCAUCGCCGUCUGCAAUCUUGAAUGCACCUGGCCGCAAGACUUGCGUGAUCGUGUACGGUCCUUCCCACUUGGGUGAGAGCUUGUUAUGCCCUGCUUGGCUUUGAACCCAUCGGAGGACGUAGUAGCCGAUCGAAAGCGUGCGUGCUCAGAUGCGCUUCUCGUGGUAUCAACGAAAGGCCUGUUGGUAGCUGGCUGCUCUGACGGCAACUCUUUCUCGAUGUUCCUCGAGUAGAUUCACAUCGUCGUUUCGCUGCUCCUCCUGAUCCUCGUCGGAGUACUUCUGUACUCAUGUGCUCUGAUGUUGUAACUCAUUGGGGAGCAUGGCUUCUGAGCCGUACACGAGGAAGAAGGGUGUCUCCUUGUUGGACGUUGUCGGUGUGGUACGCAUGGCCCAUAGUACAGAGGGAAGUUCUUCAACCCACUUCUUGUCAUGUGACAUCAGUCUGUCGUAGACACGGGUCUUGAUUCCUUGUAGUACUAUGGCGUUUGCCCUCUCGACCGUCCAUUGCUCUGAGGGUGAGAAACCGAGGCGAAGCAGAUCUUGACUCCCAAUCCAAUAUAGUAAUCCUGGAAGUCGGCACUGAUGAACUGGGAGCCGUUGUCCGUUAUGAUGCAGUGAGGCAAUCCAUAUCUGCAGAAUAUCCCUUUAAUGAAUUUGACGGUGUUGUCGGCCUUGAUUUCCCCCGUGGGUGUCGCUUCGAUCCAUUUGGUGAACUUGUCGAUCGCCACGAAUAGGAACCUGUAGCCACCCUGUCCUCGUGGGAAUGGUCCGAGUAUGUCGAACCCCCAGCACGAGAACGGCCAAGUAAGAGGGAUAGUCUGGAGCGCUUGCGCUGGUAGCUUUGUGUGUUUACUGUGAAAUUGGAAGGCUUCACACCGCUGAACCAUGUCGCAAGCGUCUUUGAGGGCGGUCGGCCAUAAAAACCCUUGUCGAAAAGCUUUUCCGACCAAUGUGCGACCGGCGGCGUGUAACCCACAGAUCCCUUCGUGUAUGUCGAGGAGGAGAUGUUUGCCGUCGUCGGACGAGACGCAUUUGAGAAGUAGCCCGUUUAGCGCCUUCUUGUAUAGAUCGUUGUCGAUCAUAUAGUAGAUUUUGGCUUGACGGGUUAUCUUCUCGGCUUCUGCAUCGUCCUCGGAUAACUCGUCACUACUCAGGAACUUGAUGAGUGGGGUCCGCCAGUCGUCUGUUGUCUCAAUGUCGGCAACAGCGCGUUCUGCCUCUGUAGCCCCCGAGCUGAUGUCGGGGACGACUAUGCUAUCUUCGUCGUUUGCCUCUUUCACCGAUGGCUUUGCCAGGAUAUCCAGGAAGAUGCCGGGUUCGAGUGGCUCUCAUCUGGACGCACGCCGUGCUAGGUCGUCAGGUUCGAUGUUGUCCUUACGGUAUACGUGUCGGACCUCGAUUCCAUCAAACCUCUUUUCCAGCUUCCUGACUUCUGCGAGGUACUUAGAUAACUCGGGGCUAGAGCACUUAUAGUCUUUGUGCACCUGGUUUGAGACUAGUUCGGAAUCCCCUUUCAUGAUCAAUCGCUUGACUCCAAGUGCGGCUGCUGCUCUUAUCCCAGCGAGUAGUCCUUCGUACUCGGCUGUGUUGUUGGUCGCCCUGAAGUUGAGGUGAAUUGCAUACUUGAACUGAUCUCCCGAAGGUGAUGUCAAGAUGAACCCAGCCCCUGCUCCUUGGCUGUUGAGUGCACCGUCGAACGCCAUUGUCCAUGUUUCGCUGUCGGUUUGACUGUCCGACCUGUCUUCAAGCACAGUCCAGUCAGCUACGAAAUCGGCGAGGACUUGGGACUUGAUGGCUGUCCGUGGGACAAAAAGGACAUCAAACUGGCUUAGCUCGACUACUCAUUUCACAAUGCGGCCGAUAACAUCUUUGUUUCUCAUGACUUCACCUAGAGGGAAGGAGGAAACAACUGUGACCCUGUGGGCUUGGAAGUAGUGGCAUAGCUUUCUUGAUGUCAUGAUUACUACGUAAAGCAGCUUUUGGAUUUGUGGGUAUCUUGUCUUUGCGUCGUGGAGAGCUUCACUGACGUAAUAAACUGCUCUUUGCACCUUCUCUCUCUCGACAACAAUGACGAUACUCACAGAAUAUGGCGUGGCGGCGAUAUAGAGGAAUAAUUCUUCAUUAGGUUGGGGAGCAACGAGUACAGGGGGAUUUGACAGGUAGCGCUUGAGUGCGAUGAACGCCUCUUCGGCUUCCUGUGUCCAUACAAAUUUGUCUUGUAUCUUCAGCAGAGCGAAGAAGGGUUGUCCUCGUUCUCCCAUCCUAGCAACGAAUCUGCUCAAUGCAGCCAUGCGUCCAGUUAGCUUCUGGACUUCCUUUAGUCUUGUGGGCAACUUCAUAUUCUCGACUGUCUUGAUCUUCUCGGGAUUUGCAUCGAUCCCUCUUUUAGAGACGAGGAACCCUAGGAGUUUGCCCGAUGGUACUCUAAACGUGCACUUCUCUGGAUUGAGCAUGAGGCGAUAUCGUCGGAGGUUGUCGAACAUUUCCCGGAGAUCAUCAAUCAAUGAGUCGCUUGUCUUGGUCUUGACAACAAUGUCAUCGACGUAUGCCUCGACAUUGUUCCCAAGCUGAUCGCUAAGUGCCCCUUGGACCGUGCGUUUGAAAGUAUUUCCUGCGGUUAUCAGUCCAAACGGCAUCUUAACGUAACAGAAUACACCGAACGGCGUGAUGAAUGAUGUCUUCUCCUCGUCCUCUUUCGCCAUGCUGAUCUGGUGGUAGCCGGAAUAGGCGUCAAGAAAGCUUAACAACUCACAACCAGCUGUUGAAUUCACCAAUUGGUCUAUUCGAGGAAGAGGGAAGUGAUCCUUGGGACACGCCUUGUUGAGGUCGGUGAAGUCGACACACAACCUCCACUUCCCGUUGGCCUUGCGCACCAUGACUGGGUUGGCUAGCCACUCUGGAUGGAGAACCUCUCUGAUGAAGCUAGCUUUGAGAAGCUUGUCGAGCUCUUCUCGUAUGGCCUGUUUUCGAUCUGGUGCAAACCUUCGCAGUUUUUGUUUUACUGGCUUGGCAAUGGGUCGCACAAUGAGUAUGUGCUCAAUCACCUCCCUGGGGACCCCGGGCAUGUCGGACGGCUGCCAAGCGAACACGUCUGCAUUGUCGCGGAGGAAGGUAAUGAGCGCGAGUUCCUUUUCUCGUCCAGUGAUGCCCCGAUCUUGACGGUCUUGUCAGGGUUGGCGCUGGAGAGUGGAACGACCUUGAUUGCACCAUCUGGCUUCGGCGUCAUGUUUGUUUUGCUCACUUUCUUGGGUGGCUCAGCUGAGGUGGGUGGGUUGGGCGUGUGCUCGACCAUGUCGAGGCUCCGCUUGUCGCACUGCACCGCCAGCUUUGCAUUUCCCUGAAUAGUGAUUGUUCCCUUUGGCCCGGGCAUCUUGAGCACUUGGUACGCAUAGUGAGAUGUGGCCAUGAACUUCGCGAGUGCAGUUCUCCCGAUGAUGGCAUUGUAUGUUGUAUCAAAUUCAGCGACAUCAAAGGUGAUCUGCUCUGUUCGGAAGUUGUUUGCUUGGCCGAAAGUCAUAGGCAUCGUAAUCUUGCCCAAAGGCUUGGACGAUGACUGAAGAGUAAUUCCAUGGAAGGGUUGAUCAGUGGGCGUCAACUCGCUUCGUGGGAUCCCCAUCGCGUCCAAGGUACUGGCGAAGAAUAGGUUAAUGGAGCUGCCGCCAUCGAUGAGAACCCGUCCGACCUUGAUAUUCCGAAUAGUGGGCUCGACCACAAUCGGAUAUCGUCCUGGGGUGACAGCAGUCUUGGGGUGGUCUUCUUCUGAGAAUUCGAUCUUCUGCUCAGACCACUUCAUCUUGGGCGCAGCCCCCUACCAUGUUGAACAAACUUCACGCUCCACUUUCUUGUACUCUCGCUUUGAGGAGUACGCCGUGGAACCUCCGAAGAUGUGUGAGACAUGGAGAUCGGAGUCUGGGUAUGCUGAGUCCGAGUCCUGAGUAGCUGCUUCGGCGGCCUUCUCGACUACACGUACUCGCUUGCCCUUCUCCAAUGCCAGUUGCUUUGCGAGCGAUUUUUUGAAAACGAAACAAGCUUAUAGGGAGUGCUUGUCCGACUUGUGUAUAGGGCACCAUAUUUUCUUUAUGUCGUCGCCUUGUGGGUCUGGGUGCUUGUGCUUGUCCGCGUACUCUGCUACGAGGACUUCCAUUUGAGCUUUCCUUUUCCUACUCUUGUGACUCUUCUUCUUACUUGACUCGGGUGCGUCCUUGGCUGGUUUCUUCUCUCCCCCCAUCUUUGGCUUGUUGCUCUUGCGUCUCAGUGCGUCGUCCGCGUGAGCGCAUCGAUCGACAAUCUCGAAUAGCUUUCGAGCAGUUGUGAUUCAUCUUGUUGCCAACUCCUAGGUGGUGUAGUGAUCUCUGACACCAGUCUUGAAAGCGCGGAUCACAAAAGCGUCGGUGAUCUUGGGGAUCGUAUUCCUGCACUCAUUAAAGCGUCGAACGUAGUCCCUCAAUGAUUCACGUGGAUUCUGUGUCAACGCGUGCAGGUCGUCUUCGAUCGCAUGGCGCUUGUAAGUUCCUUGGAAGUUAGCGACGAACUGCUACCACAGAUUUGCCCACGAAGAAAUCGAGUAUGGUGGGAGGUGGACUAGCAUGAACGUGCAGAUCCUUUCAACGCCGCCGGCAAAUAAUUCGCCAAUGUGUUGUCGUCGGCUCCGGUAGCGUAGAGUACUGUGGAAUAGACCUGAAGGAACUCCUCAGGGUCGGUGCUCCCAUCGUACUUCUCUAUUUCUCCCGGUCGAAAUCUCUCAGGCCAUCGGACAUCUCGUAGAGCACGACUGAAAGCUCUACACCCGCCGCCGGGGGCGGUGGGUUGUCAGCGAUCGUAUGUCCUCCGUGGAUGUCUGUCUGAUGACGAGGAUGAUGAGUCACUUGGUUCCGGUGUACGAUUACGAGGAUGACGUCCGGCUUCUCAAGAAUCCUGUCGUCGCUCACCGUUGUUGUCCCGGUGCCGAUCUCCGUCGUCGUCAUCGUUAUGGCGGCGUCCUCGACCAGUAUCGCCCGACAUCCGCUGUUCGCGAUCAUCGCGUUCGUGGCAGUUGUGGCGGUUAUCACGGUUUCGGUUCUCGCUCGAGUGUCCUCCUCGCUCUUCGUUUUCCCGACGUCGUGAAGAGACGCGAUGUCAGGAACGAUUUUCGUUGUCUCGCGCGCGUCGUGCUUCUCGGCGGCCAUUCAAAUGGUCACGGAGAUCGCUGGUGCCGCGAGGUGGAGGGGUGGCUUGACGAGCUGAUGCCCGAUGCCCAGGUAAUUCGCCAUUGGCACCGCUAGUUGGCGGUUGUUCUGGCAGUACUCCGGCAGCGGCCUCCUUGAAUGCGUUGCUGAGGUUAGCCACUGAUUCCCGUAGUCGUUCUGUCCACUGUGCGAGAUCAUCGUUCAGAACAGGAUCAUAAGGGGUUUCCCUCAGUAUUGCGUUCAUGGCCCUGAUGUGCUGGGCCGGUGUAACCACUUGAUCCUCCGCUUCUACGUUAGCGCGCGUAGACAUGCUGAUCCCAUCGAUAGCAAACACAUCGCGUGGUGUACUCGUCGACGAUGAGCCCUGGUCUUCAAGCAAGUGUAGAACUGACGGCUCGUGAGGAUCGAUGUCGAUUACCCCAACGAAUCGGUUUGAGAUAACUGUCGCUCCUCGUUCCUUGUCCGCAUCUCUAAGAGAGACUCGUGACUGCUGGACCUUAGGAGAUGACGUCCUUAUGGCGCUGAGAAGAACCUUGCAGCUUGAGAGGUCGUGAUUCCUUGUCUUAUGAAUAGGACAAUAGACAUCACGGGUUGGAGAAGUACGUUGAAUUCUACGCUCUUUGCAAGCACGGAUCUCAGCUUGUACGUCAAGAAAAACCCAGCAAGCCUGCAAGGUGUGUUUCCUGGUUUUGUGGAUAGGACACCAGGACCUUGUCGCCUCGGAAGUUGUCCUUGUCGGCUCAUGAUUCUCGUCGGAAGGACAAGAUUUGGCCACACUAGGAUCUUUCUCGGGCUCGGAUGUCAUCGUUGUUCCGUUCUCCACUUCUGCAGGAGGAUCCUUCGACAUGGAGUCGUCCAGGGUUGUAACCACGGCGUUCUCGCUUCUAGUCAUUGAUGGACCAGUCGAGAUCCACCGUGGUGCAAAUCGGGAAGACGAUUUCGCCGACUUGAGUCCACACCAGCAUUGUUGAAGUAGAAACUCCUUGGUUGAUGCCGGGGUUGACGCUAUUGUCGACGAAGCUUGAUGACAUAGUAGUAGAACCUUGAGCACCAAGUCCCCCUACCUGGCGCGCCACUGUCGACAAGGGAUACCCGUGGACCGGAUAUAGAAGGUAUUGGGGUACGCUGGUAUGAGGAUCUACGUAGUACGACAUCAAGCAAACAGGAAACAGGGAUUAUACUGGUUCAGGCCCCUUGAUAGGUAAUAGCCCUAAUCCAGUUGAUACGAGAUUAUAUGAUGGAAACCACAGAUUACAAAGGGAAUAACGGAACUUGAUGAUACCGACGAGACCGUAGUCAAGUUGGUCCUACUAGAUCACCCGGCGACUUGGCUCCUACAGGCUUCGACUUCGUAGGCUGUGAUGGUUGUGUUGGCGAUGAUAUUCGAUGCCUUAGGCCCUCCCGGGGGGUCCCUUUUAUACCGCGGGUCAGUUGAUCUCCAAGUAGAACUCGGAGAUAUCGGACCCCACGCGAUACUGUAACGACCCAGUUCUGUUCGAGUAGGACUCCUUCCAUCUGUAGACUCUAUUUCUGUUACGUGAUGGAUUUCCUUAACAUGUACCGAAAACAUCCGUAUACACGCAGGUAUACCGUAUCAGUAUACAACAUACAUCCAAGGGUAGAGGGUAUACCUUAUCUGUAACCCUGACACAUUGGCAUUGGUAUUAGUUUAUACAUCCAUCCCACCCAAAACCUUAGUUCAGCCAGGCAAAGAUCCCCCAACUGCAAGAGGUAGAGACAUAUCCGGUGGAGCCCCUAGUUGUCAAACAAACAAUGGUUGUGGCACUGGACACCUAAGCAGCAAUGCAGCCUAAAUUAGUAGUUUGCUUGUUGCUCCCCGCAAAAAAAAAAGUAGUUUGCUUGUUGCUAUAGGUUAUUAUUAUUUUUUUAGUUUUAAGAAGGAAGCAUGUCAUUCUAUAGAAGUUGGAUGUGCAUGAAUAGGGUGACUGUGCAAUGGCAAAGAGGGUUGUACGAACGAAGAUGGUGAUCCAUGUGACAAUGCCCAUUGCAUGUAUAGAAGAUGUCUUGAGAUGGUGUUCAAAACACGUCCUGAAGUGUAAAGUGACCUGUUAAGGAAUGGGUUUGAUGAAAAUUACAAACGAUGGGUAUACCAUGGUGAAGAUGAUUCAGAUGAGGAUGAUGUCGCUGAAGGAAAUAACAACGUAGCAGUUCCUAAUAUGAUCAGCAAUAUAACAAGUGGGUACUGACCCUGAAAGGCUGAAACCAGGAUCCAUUGCAUGUAUAGAAGAUGUCUUGAGAUGGUGUUCAAAACACGUCCUGAAGUGUAAAGUGACCUGUUAAGGAAUGGGUUUGAUGAAAAUUACAAACGAUGGGUAUACCAUGGUGAAGAUGAUUCAGAUGAGGAUGAUGUCGCUGAAGGAAAUAACAACAUUGCAGUUCCUAAUAUGAUCAGCAAUAUAACAAGUGGGUACUGACCCUGAAAGGCUGAAACCAGGAUCCAUUGAUCAAAUUUUAUUACCUCCCUAGGAUUCAGAGAAGUUUACAAUACUAUCAAUUUAUCAUGUGUACCUUGUUGAAGUUGAUUCUAUCAUCAUGAAUUCCUGAUUUACUAGCAAUAGAGUUUUUCUACAUGCUUUUCGUUUAUAUGAUAAUCAAAAUUGUUCAACGCUUCAUAUUAGGAUUUUGUAAUGGUUAUGUUCUUUUAUAUUAUUUUUAUAUUAGAGUUACAGUUCUCGGAAAGUGUAUUAGAAUUCAUAGCUGUUGAUGGUCAUUAAGUACCAAUUUUGACCACCAACUAUCACAAUAAAUAAAGGGAUAACUAACAUUUAUUACAUGUAUAUCAGUAAUAAAUAAUGUAGUUGUACUAGAUUUGGAGAAUUAACUUGGAUACAGGCGAACAUGUUAGAAAAAUAAGAUAUCAAAGUAGAAGCAAUUUUAUCAAGAUUACUGGACACUAGCCUUCAAUUGUCAUAAUACGAGAGAUUCUAUUUUUCCUUUUCCUUCACCUUGAAAUCGGUAUUAGAGAUUUGGUUCCCACCCAACAGGGGGUGCAUAUAUAUAGAGGAGAUUAAACAUCAUGCUUGUUGGACUAUGUAAAAAAAAACAAGUACAUAACUAGGACUAGACAUAACUAUUGUAAAUUUCAUCUCAUUCGUCCUUAUAGUUAGGACUAGACAUAACUAAAAAUAUAUACCAUCGGAAAAAAAUUAUGGAAAAAAAACAAGCUCGAAAACGAUUUUGAUACGCAUAUAGUUAGGACUAGACAUAACUAAAGAAAAUAUACCAUCAGAAAAAAAAUGAUGGAAAAAAAACAAGCUCGAAAAUGAUUUUGAUACGCUAGGUGUGUAUAAAGUCGGGAAAAAAAUGAUAAAAAAGCUCGAAUAUGAUUUUAAUACGCUAAACAAGCUCGAAAACGAUUUUGAUACGCAUAUAGUUAGGACUAGACAUAACUAAAGAAAAUAUACCAUCAGGAAAAAAAUGAUGGAAAAAAAACAAGCUCGAAAAUGAUUUUGAUACGCUAGGUGUGUGUAUAAAAUCAGGAAAAAAAUAAUAAACAAGCUCGAAAAUGAUUUUGAUAUGCUAGGUGUGUGUAUAAAAUCGGGAAAGUGUGUGUAUAAAAUCAGGAAAAAAAUGAUAAACAAUAUCGAAAAUGAUUUUGAUAUGCUAGGUGUGUGUACAAAAUCGGGGAAAAAAAGAUGGGGGACAUGCUAGACGUACGUGUCGUUCGCCUUUGGCCCGUGGGCGGUGGCAAUGAUUCAGUUGUUGAAUUUGUCUGAAAUUGCAUAGAACAUGCGCUCCGCACGUGCAGCCACCGGACUCGGACGAAACCCGUGCAAAGCAACGGGGGUGUGCUCGUCAGCACGCUCCGUUCGGCGGUAGCUUCCCUUUUGAGGAGAUACAAAACUGUGUUCGCUAUCCGAUGUGGUACUAAACAACGUGCACUUUGCGUUUAGAACCCGCUGAGACAUACUAACCCUCAUAGAAAUGCAGAACGUACGCUUUACAGCGAAUGCAACAAUGGUAACACGUACGUCGUUCCAAAGUCCAGAAACACAUCUGAUGACAAGCUCAACUUCCCCGAGGACGACGUUUCAAAUUAAGUCAUGGACGGGUUCUUAGCCAGUGACGUAGAAUUCUUAUAUGGUUGAUCCAAUUUAUAUAUUUUUAAAUGUUAUAUAACAAAACUAAAAGUAUAAAUUGAUUAAAUAUGCAUCACAAUAUAGAAAUAUAAAUUGAUUAAAUGUGUAUUAUAAUAUACUAAUAAGGGAGUUAUUUUUUGCUUUUUUUUCAAAAAUUUCUUUUCACACAUGUAUAUAUACAUUGAGCUAGGUGGUCCACCAUCUAGAUCCGUCAAUGUUCUUGGGCGGCGACGGGAACGGCUGCUUCUUGGGCUCCUGGCGCAUUGGGACGUCGCCGUGAUCAUUAGGCUCAGGCAUCGGAUCACAUCGCUUGCUGGCAUCAGCGGUGGCGGUGGCGCCGCCCCUGGGCUAGCAUUUCUUUGGUGUCUCAGAGAUUACAUAAUGACUGUUGUUUUUUUAAGGUGUGGAGUACACUUUUUGUAUUAUGUGAUUUCUGUAGGCUUUUUACCAUUUUUCACUGUGAACAUACAAAUUCUCAUUGAAAUCAUAUGUGUAUUAUUGACAAUUUUUACGGUGUUUGCAUUCUAAAAAGGGUAAACAUCUAAUGCUCCACAAUGAAAGAUUCCACUUAAAAGGUAUUUAAGUAUUGUCAUAGGUAUUUAGGUAGGAAGGGUAAAGUAAUAAAUUUUUUUGGAGAUGGAGAAGGGCAUAAUUGUCUCAAUAUUAGCUCUAGGUACAUAGGUACUACAUCGAUACUUUAUCUUCUAUAAUCCUCCCAUGUAUCAUUUACGUGUUUUUUUUGUGAGAUUUACAUUUGGUAUCUAACAACAUGGUCCAACGCUAUUUGUGUUGGGCUGUAAAUAGAAUAGUGUGUGUGUGUGUGUGUUUGUGUGCUGGCCCAUCAGCUAGAGGCCCAUCUACUCAUGUAUAUGUAAAUAACGAUAGCAAUACUGAAGGGGUGAAGCUUCCAGAGAAAAAUUCACAAACUACAUGGCAUCAGAGCCAUGCUCCUGGCGGCCGGCGGCGACGAACCCUAGCUGAGGGAGCAAGCGCUGAGGUUGGAGUUCUUGGUGGUGGUGUAGGACGGUGAGCAGGGACAAGUAGGAGUGGACUGGAGGCGCAGCAGGUCAGGACACUCGCGGCUGCUGCAGCGAGCGGCGGUGACGGCAACACACAGCAGGUGCGUGAGCUGAGCAGGGAGGUCUGGAGGGGCAGCAGCUACAAGUGGGUUCCCCGGCCGUGCUUCUGCUUGUUGAGUUGGUUCCCAGCCGUGCUUCUGCUUGUUGGCUGGUGGUGGACUCUGUACUGUGGCUUGUGGUUGAGGGAAGAAGCACUAGUGACUGUUGUUACUGUUGUUCUUCUUCAAGAUUGAGGUAAUCGAGAUUGUUCUUGCUGCUACUACUGAUUUACUGGGAAGAAAAUACAGGAUAGAGGAAUUGUUGGCUUGUUGUUAGUGCUGCUGGUGGAGUGUAGACAAGGAGAGUUUGCUUUGUUACAGCAGUUAGUUGAGUGCUGCUUGAUUAAAAUGGGGGAAAAUCAGGGACUUGAACAAGUGAUGGGUAAAUUGGUGGACAUGCUUGCAAAGAAAUUUAGUGAGGUCCCAACUACAAGUAAUGCAGUGAUUCCUCAUACUGAAACAAUGCAAAAAAUUGAGUUGAUGCAAAAUGAUAUUAAGUUGGAGGGUGUCAAAAAUUAUUUAAGUUGGUCAAGGAGAGCAUUGUUGAUUUUGAAGACUAAGGGAUUAGAAGGAUAUGUCACCGGAGAAGUGAAGGAGCCUGAGAGUGCUAGUGCAGAAUGGAGGACUUGGAGCACUACCAACUCUUUAGUAGUAGCAUGGUUGUUGACUUCACUUAUCCCUGCUAUUGCUACAACUGUUGAGACCAUCUCAAGUGCAAGUGAGAUGUGGAAAACUCUCACUAAUCUCUACUCAGGAGAAGGAAAUGUGAUGCUAAUGGUGGAGGCACAGGAGAAGAUAAGUGUUUUGAGACAGGGGGAGCGUUCUAUUGCAGAAUAUGUUGCAGAAUUGAAGCAUCUAUGGUCUGAUUUGGAUCAUUAUGAUCCUCUUGGGUUAGAGCACCCCGAUUGUAUAGCAAAAAUGAGGAAAUGGAUUGAGCGCAGAAGGGUUAUUGAAUUCUUGAAAGGCCUAAAUCCAGAGUUUGAAGGGAGAAAAGAUGCUAUGUUCCAUCAGACUACUCUUCCUACCUUGGAUGAGGCUAUAGCAGCUAUGGCUCAAGAUGAGCUUAAGAGGAAAGUAUUGCCUAAGGCUACACCACCUUCAUCAAGUCCCACCUAUGCAAUGCUACAAGGUAAAGAGACUAGAGAGUGUUUUAAUUGUGGUGAAAUGGGGCAUCUCAUGCGUGAUUGUCGUGCUCCUCGCAAGCCUAGUUAUGGAAGAGGAAGAAGUGGUGAUAGAGGUGGAGCAAGAGGUGGAAGAGGUUAUGCAGGUAGAGCUAACAGAGGUAGAGGCUAUGAGUAUAGAGGUGAUCACAGAGCUAAUGUGGUCACUCUUGAAGAGGGUUGUUCUGGACCUACAAAUGUUGAUGUUGCCAACCUUGUUCAUUCUAUCUCAGGUAACUCAAACCAAGCAUUUAUGUCAAUCAAUAGUUCUCAUUCAAAUUGGAUACUUGACUCGGGUGCAUCCAGACAUGUCACGGGUAUGUGUGGAGAAUUUGCAUCAUAUAAACCAUACCCAUUUACACGAAAAGAAACAAUUGAAACUGCAGAUGGAACAUCAUGCCCAGUUAAGGGAGAGGGAACAGUACAAUGUACUCCUUCAAUCACUUUAUCAUCAGUGUUAUAUGUCCCUUCUUUUCCAGUGAAUUUGAUUUCAAUAAGUUCUCUUGUUGAUCAUAUGGAUUGUCGGGUAUCCCUUGAUCGUGAGAAUUGUUUAAUUCAGGAGAGGCAAACAGGGAAGAAACUUGGGACUGGCGUCAGGCGUGAUGGACUUUGGUAUUUGGAUAGAAAGGAGACAAGUGAAGAUGUAUGUCUUGCAUUGAUGGCUUCUACAAGUAAAGAAGAGGCUAAGGUAUUACUUUUGCAUUGUCGAUUGGGGCAUAUAUCUUUUGAAACUAUGAGUAAGAUGUUUCCAGCAGAACUAAGUAGAGUGAAUAAACAUAAGUUAGUAUGUGAUGCAUGUGAGUAUGGAAAACAUACAAGAACAUCAUAUGUGAGUAGAGGACUCCGAAGUAUGUUACCAUUUAUGCUAAUUCACUCAGAUGUUUGGACUUCACCUAUGGUCUCUAUGAGUGGAAUGAAGUAUUUUGUUACCUUUAUUGAUUGCUACUCUCGCAUGACAUGGUUAUAUCUUAUGAGGCAUAAGGAUGAGGUGUUUAAAUGCUUCCAGAAUUUCUAUGCAUACAUUAAAAAUCAUUUUAAUGCUCGAGUUCAGUUUAUUAGAACUGAUAAUGGCGGGGAGUAUAUAAACAAUGAAUUUAGUAGCUUUCUUUCAUCAGAAGGAAUAUUGCAUCAAACUUCUUGUCCUGAUACUCCUCCACAAAAUGGGGUGGCUGAGAGAAAAAACCGUCAUCUUUUGGAGACAGCUCGCUCAUUGAUGUAUGCUAUGAAUGUACCUAAAUUCUUGUGGAGUGAAGCAGUAAUGACAGCAACUUAUCUUAUCAACCGCACGCCAUCAAGGAUACUUGGAAUGCAGACACCAUGUGAGAUGAUAUUUGGAAAGAAUGAAUUUGUUGUUCCACCAAAAGUGUUUGGUUGCACUUGUUUUGUUAGAGAUCAUAGACCUUCCGUUGGAAAACUUGAUCCUUGGGCUGUCAAAUGCAUCUUUAUAGGCUAUCCAUCUGGCCAGAAGGGGUAUAAGUGUUGGAGUCCAUCAGAACGACGAACCUUUGUUAGUAUGGAUGUUACUUUUAGAGAAUCUGUCCCAUUCUACGGUGAGAAGACAGAUUUAAGUUCUUUAUUCGUUGAUCUUGAUAAUUCAACUAGUGGUCAUGAUGGUCAACAGAUGGAAGGUGAAAUAUUGGGUCCAAAGGGAGAUGAACAAUCAAAGAAGGAAAAGUUUGUGGUUGGUUCAAUUCCAUGUCCUAUGGGUGGUCCUGUUGCACAGGAGCAAGAAUGGAGGAAGCCACAUGAAGAGGAAAAUCUUCAAGUAUACACAAGGAGAACAAGGUGUCCAGUAAUCCAACAAGUUGAAGAGGAUAAUCAGGUAGAGAAAGAUGUAAGUCAUGAGCAAGGGUCUUUGGAGUCAAGGGGAGAAGAAGAGGAAGUUAGAGAAGAAUCUGACUUACCAAUUGCUGUCAGAAAGAGUGUGAGAAGCAAUGCAGGUAAACCUCCACUAAGGUAUGGUUUUGAAGAUCAAGAUGAGGGUGAUGAAGAAAAUAAUAUAUCCAACUUUGUUUCCUAUGACUCCUUGUCAUCCACAUAUAAAGCCUUUGUAGCAUCACUAGAUUCAAUGGAAAUCCCAAAGGAUUGGAGAGAAGCAAAGCAAGAUCCAAGGUGGCAUCAAGCUAUGUUAGAUGAACUAGAGGCUCUUGAAAAGAACAAAACAUGGGAUCUUGUACCAUUUCCUGAAGGAAAGAAAGUUGUCAACUGUAAGUGGGUUUAUACAGUAAAGCAAAAUCCUAAUGGAAAGGUGGAAAGAUACAAAGCAAGGCUGGUGGCUAAGGGAUAUAGUCAAACAUAUGGAAUUGAUUAUGAUGAAACUUUUGCACCAGUAGCAAAGAUGAGCACGGUAAGAACUCUCAUAUCUUGUGCAGCUAAUUUUGAUUGGCCAUUGCAUCAGCUAGAUGUCAAGAAUGCAUUUUUACAUGGAGAUCUUCAAGAAGAGGUGUAUAUGGAUAUCCCACCGGGAUUUGCUACUUCACAAACUGAAGGAAAGGUGCUGAGAUUGAAGAAAUCUUUGUAUGGUCUUAAACAAUCACCAAGAGCAUGGUUUGAUCGGUUUAGGCGUGCAAUGUGUGCUAUGGACUAUAAGCAAUGUAAUGGAGAUCAUACAGUUUUUUAUCAUCAUAGUGGAGAUCAUAUAACCAUCCUUGCUGUCUAUGUUGAUGAUAUGAUUAUCACUGGGAAUGAUUGCUUGGAGAUAACUAGGUUGAAACAGAAUCUAAGCAAAGAAUUUGAAGUUAAGGACCUAGGCCAGUUGAAAUAUUUUCUGGGUAUUGAAAUUGCAAGAUCUCCUAGAGGGAUAGUUCUGUCACAACGGAAAUAUGCAUUGGAUUUGCUCAGUGACACAGGUAUGCUUGGAUGUCGCCCAGCCUCUACACCAAUUGAUCAAAAUCAUAAAUUAUGUGCACAGUCUGGAAAUCCAGUGAAUAAGGAAAGAUACCAAAGAUUGGUGGGAAGACUGAUAUAUUUGUGUCAUACACGACCUGACAUAACUUAUGCUGUCAGUAUGGUGAGUCGAUAUAUGCAUGAUCCAAGGAGUGGUCAUAUGGAUGCGGUCUAUAGGAUCUUGAGAUAUUUGAAGGGAAGCCCAGGUAAAGGCCUAUGGUUUAAGAAAAAUGGACACUUGGAGGUUGAAGGCUAUUGUGAUGCAGAUUGGGCAAGUUGUCCUGAUGAUAGAAGAUCAACUUCAGGCUAUUGUGUGUUUGUUGGUGGCAAUUUAGUAUCUUGGAGGAGCAAGAAGCAACCGGUGGUGUCUCGCUCAACUGCUGAGGCAGAAUAUCGGGCAAUGUCAGUGAGUUUGAGUGAGUUGUUAUGGCUAAGGAAUCUUCUUUCUGAGUUAAAGUUGUCGGUGGAUACUCCCAUGAAAUUGUGGUGUGACAACAAGUCAGCAAUCAACAUUGCUAACAACCCAGUUCAGCAUGAUCGAACAAAGCAUGUGGAGUUGGAUCGUUUCUUUAUCAAGGAAAAACUGGAUGAGGGAGUUUUGGAAUUAGAAUUUGUAACGUCUAGUGGACAAGUUGCUGAUUGUUUAACAAAGGGUUUAGGUGUUAAAGAGUGUAAUCGUUCGUGUGACAAGAUGGGUAUGAUAGAUAUCUAUCACCCAUCUUGAGGGGGAGUGUUGGGCUGUAAAUAGAAUAGUGUGUGUGUGUGUUUGUGUGCUGGCCCAUCAGCUAGAGGCCCAUCUACUCAUGUAUAUGUAAAUAACGAUAGCAAUACUGAAGGGGUGAAGCUUCCAGAGAAAAAUUCACAAACUACAAUUUGGGGGCCUUGGGUGAGUUGGUUUGACCCAACUAAGAAGGAACAAUGCCGAUCCUAACACUAUUCGUCUUCUUCCUCCCAUCCAAGCUUGGGCAAACAUGAGGAGGAAACUAAGGGCGUCGAGAUUCUGGUGGCUGUAUGAUGAUGGCAAUGGCGGUAAGACAUGUCUCGCGGCUCAGCGCACCCAUGGGAAGUGGAGGUAGGCACAAAAGACAACAAGAGUGCGCGGAAUUCGAGCGCUAGGGUUUGAUUUAGGGAAAGAAAGAAUGGCGGGUAGCGAGCUUCAAUUAGUAUUUCGGCCACCUAAGAGCAUCACAUCGCGUCCCUGCCAAUAGGGAUUCCGUUUUCCCUAACUUGUUGACGAAAGUGGAAAGGGAAUGGUUGGAAGCGGUGGAGCUUGAUGGCCCAGGAGGAAGCAUGACCAUGGACAAGAACUUUGUUUCUACCAAACAAUACAAUCCACUAAAUCUUUGGAAGAUUUACUUUGUUUCCUAUUGAACGAUACACAGGAAAUACCAUAUUGUACUAGUUAAUUACUCCACUGCCAUCAUUUACGAUAAUUUUAUACUGUACCUUGCCCUCUCUUAAUGAACGGUACACAUUGUUGUACCUCUCAGUACUUCUAAGUAACUCGCAAACACCGUAAAAGCUCUCGUAUUUUUAUUGUUUUGAGGACCAUUGUUGUGAUUUAUAUUGCUUUUGAAACUUCCUGAGCUGUUUCCAAUUUGUACUUCUCUUGACAUUUCUUUUUUUUUCUUCUGAAUUUCUUACUUGUUUUAAACUUUUUGAAUUUUAAUAGGGAUGCUUCUUGUUAGCUUUUUUGUUGGUUGGUAUUGCUACACGCUGUUUUUAGAAUUCUUCACAUCAAACUGGGGUAGUAUAUAAACAUUGGAAAAUCAUUCACACACAAAAAAUCAACUGGAAGCCCGACUUCUACACAGUAAAAAAAGAAAGACAAAAUCCGGCUGACUUUCAUUUCUUUUCAAUUAAUACUACAUGUACAAAAUAGAAUCAAAAUUAACAGAUUUCAUGCAUGUAAAACAAAUUAUCUGCACUAUCAGCUUUGUAUAUAUACUCCUGUUUGCUUCAUUUCUGACUGCACUAUACUACGAAUUUUGUUACAAAACCAAAAUAGAGUUGAAAAAAAGGAAAAAAAAAACUGUUACAUUGGAAGUGGGUAAUCGAUCAGGUCUGAGUUAGCAAAAAUCGAUCAUCACCUCCUCUGGAAGUUAAGCAUCUUGAUGGAGAGCGAGAAGGAGACGGCGAAGAGCGUGGCGAACCCCGCAACAGCAACGGCGACGACACCGAGGAAGUCGUGCUUGAAGCCGAAGUACUCCCUAAGGAAGACGUCAAUGGGGACGCCGGUGUCGCGGAGCGGCUCCUUCAGGUCGCCGAACUGCGACGCCACCAGCCCGUACAGCGUCCACGACACCGGGCACGCCCACGAGUACCACCUCCACCACACCGGCAUGCUCUGAACACAUCACCAAGAAUAACACAUCAGUUUCGUAUAGAUGUCGUGCGCGUAUCGACCAGGGUUUACCAAACCGUUUGGGGUGGGAUUACCGCCACCACACGGUUUGACGGUUACCGCGGUAAUCGUGGUAAUCGUGCGGUUACCGUGAGGUAUACCGUGGUUUCAAAAACUGAGAAGGUUAACGCACGUGAUAACUAUGAUAACCGUUUAAAAACCCUAGUACUAGCCAGUUCAACCAAAAAGCUUAAAUGACAUCGGCAUUUUCGAUGUCGUAUACCAUACUACCAACCAGUUCACCCCAGAAGCUUAGCAUACAUCUCUAUUUCAGAUGCCGUGUGCUAGCCCGUUCGAUCCAAAAGCUUAAGGUUAAGUAAGAUUUAACGAUACAUACCGGGCGGGGGAUGACGAAGCCGGAGAAGAGGUUCCAGAUGCCGUAGAAGAAGGAGGAGACGAUGGAGGCGAUGUUGUAGCUCGGGGUGAGGCCGACGGCGAGCAUGCCGUAGAAGGUGAAGUAGAGCAGCGUGAAGUACAUGAAGUAGAGGUACCAGAAGAACUUCUUGGCCUCCCACUCGAAGCCGAUCAUGGCGUACACGAUCACCCCGUACACCGCCGACUGCACCAGCACGUACGGCAGCUCCACC